UCCCAACAAGAGGUUCAUCAAAGGAGUUCAACCACAAUUCUCAAAAGCUUCAUACACUUUUGAUCAAGACAGUGUGAAGCAAAACCAAUUUAUGGUGCCAACAAAAGCUUCAUCAAUGGAAGGCAACCACAAUUCUUAAAAGCUUCACACACUCUUGAUCAUGACUGUGUGAAGCAAAACCAAUUUAUGGUGCCAACAAAACCUUCAUCAAAUGAGGGCAACCAUAAUUCUCAAAGCAAAACCAAUUUAUAGUGCCAACGAGAGCUUCAUCAAUGGAGGGCAACCACAAUUCCCAAAAGCUUCACACAUUCUUGAUCAAGACAGUGUGAAGCAAAACCAAUUUAUGGUGCCAACAAGAGCUUCAUCAAAGGAGUUCAACUAUAAUUCUCAAAAGUUUCACACACUCUUGAUCAAGACAGUGUGAAGCAAAACCAAUUUAUGGUACUGUUUGGGCCGAGCAUAGAAUAAUUCUCGGCCUGGAAAGCCUUACGACAAAGUUAUCAUGGAUUGUUUAGUUCGUGGGCUUCCAAACCUGGGUCGGUUGUGCUAUAAGACGAGUAAUCGAAUCCUAGCACAAUAAGGAGUCUCGGCGAGAUAUGGAUAUGAAUAACCUAGAAGUGAAUCCGGCUUGAUAAAGGACUGGGUUCAAAAUCAUAGUGAAAGUAGGACUGGUCGAGAUGGUGUUUAAUUAGGAGCAGAAGUCCUAAUCCGAAUAGGGUUUUAACUCGACCUAGAAGGUAUCUGGUGCUAUAAAUAGAGGAGGCUGUGCAUCGUUCAACCUCCUUCAACUCAACACACAACUGCCCUGCGCAAACUCUCUCAACAACUUUGAGAUUUUUAUUUUCUCUUUUCGCUGACACAUCUUCCGUUGGCAUCAACAUCACUGUGAAAGAAACCGGUGAUAUAUUCAGUCGGCAGAGAUAGCUCUGUCACCGUAGAAUUAGUCGAUCUCGCAGCAUCUUUCGUUGGCAUCAAUAGCACUGCGACGAGGGCGGUUGGUUACCUAUCCAUGUCUCGGUCGAGAAGGAUUUCUGAAUCCUUAUUGAUUGAGGUCAUCUCAUUAGCCUUGUCGGUGAAGUGAGGUGUUACAGCUUAUUGAGCUCGGCGCAUUGCACGCCGAGUUAUUUUAUAAUUGGAUACUCUCAAGUGGGAUUUAGAGUUCGGCAUUCAGACGGCCGAACCACAUUCACCAUUAAGACUUAUAUUCGCUUUGAGUAUUUGUGCCCUUACACUUUGGUGUUGAUUCGGCGUAAGUUUACGCUGACGAAUACCAUCACUGUGAUUGAAUCCAACGACGACGAUUCGUGAACUUCGUAAGAAUAGUAACCUUGUCUUUAGGUUUGAGAACCCAAGAGGCCGAGACGUGUUCCUUCCUCAGUCGCAAUCGCAAGACGCAGAAGUCAACCGUUCACCCAACGCAACAUCAACAAAUUUUACUCCUCGGUCGCGCUCGGCUAACAAGUUGGCACUCCCGCAUUCAACCAAAGGACGUAGUUAGCUUAUAGAUUACUCGGCCUGCGCGCCAUGUAGGUUUAGUAGUUUUUAGGGUUAACAUUUUGGCACGCUUAGUGGGACCUAGUGCUAAACUACGAAGUUCAUGCCAAUUGAAACGCGAUCGGUAAAAAAGAAAACAACUAUGGGAAAAUCAACAACCGAUUUGCCAAUCCAGAACAUAGGGUAAAGUGUGCCACUAGCAGAAUCCCCUUAACGCCGUGACACCUGAGUCCACAAGCGCGACUCGUCGAGAAAGGGAGGUUAAUCUCGGCGGUCAGCUUCGCAGUCUAGAAGUCCCUAACAGAAACACCUGCAUUCUCAAUGAAAGGAUAGUGGAGGAUUGUGACGAGGAUGGUGGCGAAGGAUCUGAUCCACCAACAAGAUCGUUUCUUCGAAAACGACUUGACGAGCAGUCUCAAACGGUUGAACAGACGCUUAGUCGAGGAAUCGAUAAACUGCAUGACGUGAUACGCAGUACUAGUGAGACACAAACCAGAUUGCUCGAAAUAUUGGUUAGUAAGGUCAACGACGGUAGGUCUUUCGAUCUUUUUCAGCACUUGCCACCAAGAAAUAAUCUGCCACCAAUUGUACAAGCCGAGUCAAUUCCUGCUCGGCUUAAGCCAAUUGACUCUAUAAAAGGAGGAGGAUCGAAUAGUAGGCCAGGCAGGUCUGACCAUAGAGUAGAAGCCACACGCGUUGAUAUGACCGUGGUUCAGCGGUUGAUCGAUUCGGCCAUGAAAAAAGGGCCGAAGUUCCCUAAAUUUAUACAUCCGUAUCCAGCUUAUGUGGAACAGUUCGAAUACCCUAGAGGUUUGAAAAUCCCAGAUUUUAGCCUUUUGUCGGAGAAUCAUCCUUAUCAUCGUUAGAACAUGUGGCUCGUUUCACCGCGCAAUGUCAAUAUCGACUUUCACAAGCUGCGACUUUUCAACUUUAAGUUGACCAGUUCAGCAUUUGCUUGGUAUAUCAACCUCCCACCGAAUUCCGUCCGGAGUUGGGAAGAGUUGGUCGAGAAAUUUCAUGAACAGUUUUAUCGGCCAGGGAUGGAAAUGUCAGUGUCCUCAUUAGCCAGGAUGGCUCAAGCAUUUGAUGAGUCACCAAUGGAUUAUCUUACCAGAUUUAAAUCGGCCAGGAAUUGGUGCCGAGUACCUCUCCCCGAAGUCGAAUUUGUUAGACUUGCUCUGAACGGUCUUGACGUAGAAUAUAGAAAGAAAUUAUUAGGGGCAAACUUUCGGGACGAUCUACAAAAAUACCGCUGUCAAUUACGCAUCGACCGAAGGUGAAUGCGUCAGCGUGGACGCAACUGAGAUAGUAAUAGAUAAGCCAUACGUUUGCAAGGCGCUAACUCAUUGACUCUAAGGAUGUCAAAACCCGCUCGGCCACUGAAGAAAAAAUGAAAACGUCAAAAGUUUAUACUUUUGAUAUUACAAAGGCCGACGCAAUUUUUGAUCAAUUGUUAUCAGCGAAGAUCAUCAAACUUCGACCUAGGCAUAACAUUCCCAAGGCCGAAGAGCUUAAAGGAAAGAUAUAUUGCAAACAUACGACAAAUAACUGCGUCGUGUUUCGAGACAACGUCCAAAGCUCGAUUGAUAACGGCAAACUCAGAUUUUCGGAGAAGAAAAUGAGUGUUGAUACCGACCCAUUUCCCACAGCAACAAUAAAUAUGGUAGAUGCUCGCCUACCUAGGGACAAAGGAAAAGGGAAGGUAGAGGUCGUUACAAUGCAACGCUCUCUGAAUUAGAAUUCUUGGCCACGUUUCAAUGCUGAUUUCUGUUCAAACAAACCACCUACAGCUCUCACGGGACCCGCUAUUAUCAAGCCCAUGAUAGAUUACAACACUGAUGAAGAAAGUAGGUCAGCGGUUUUAUGCAAAAAGUGUAAAGUAAAUGUCAGCGCCGAGCCGAAGGAAGAGUCAUCUCCGACCACGGUGGAACAACCUACAGCCGCAACACAACGGAAGGUGCUUGACGCAGGUCAACAUCAAGGGGUUUUUGAUAGGCUCGGCCCUAAAAUACGGGUUGAAAAGAAACCUUCAGUCAGACAGCGCCUCGACUUUGAUGCUCCGUUUUAUGACGAAGAUUAUUACAUACGCAAUUUUAGCAGCUCGGAAUCAUCGCAGAGCCAGAAAACUUUCAAACCUUCUGAACCUCGAGACCAGCGAUGGUAUACAUAUCACUCUUCAAAAGGCGUCUACACAGCACUGUCCAAAUCCUAGAAACGUUGGCACCAAAGAAUAAACUCCAUGUCCCGCCGACUGGCAGCCCAAGAAGCUUCGGUCCCUAAAUGGCGGCCGAAGGAAAUAAUUGCCAAUGAUGAUGGACGACCAUCCCCAACUAUUAUGACAGAGCUGGUUCAAGGGAAACGACUGGUCAAUUGAGAUUUUGAAACCACAUUUGAGAAGGCUGAUAAACGGAUCAAACUUCUUCUUCGGCUUGGGGAAAUGAAGGCAGGCCUUGAGCACUUCAGGCAGGAGGCUUAAAGUAAACUCCCCCCGCUAACCCCACAAGAACCUUUGAUCAAAAUUCGAUGGAAUUUACAUCCACAAUUCCGUGGGGAGGCCUUGGAAUAUAUGCGAGAGUUUCAUAAAAAGCAUUCGGCUAACGAUCUAUAUGGUUUACCGAAAGCAUGUGAAGAUACAAUUGAUCUCGUCCUAACUUGCCCGGAUGCCGAGCGAAUUAUUCAAAAUACCUCAGACUUAGGGUUGAAAGCUAGGUUCCAGCACAUACGAGAAGCUCGAGUCCUUGGCUUUGAAGUCGACCCACACACUGAUAUCGAUGCGGCAGACCUUCCUUUCUUAUUAGAGGACUUUCAGUAUUUACGAUACCAUUUCGAAGUCUUUUUGGUCAUUUCUCUCUUCGGCCUUACUGCCGAUGAAAUAACACCAGUCGCACGGUUGGAUGCCUAUCUCGAGACUAGGGAUGCCCGUAUAAUGUACCAAGAGCAAGCUCGUCUCCUGGUACCAAUCCCAAGCACAAUUCCGAUUUCAGACGAACCUGAGGCACCUAAACAGAACAAACAGACUUCCGAAGAGACACCAUGGGAACAAACCAUCGAAGAAAGAGCAGAGGAGUCUCUUAGUACAGCUCUGACGGAAGUAGAUGCAGUAGUUGGUGACCAGGAAAGAGAAAAGCCUGAAGAGGGGGAUCGUAACGCGAUGGGCCCGUCGGUCCUGGAUAACAUGGAAAUCAGUAUGGUCCAUGUUUUGCCAGCUGAUUUUCAGCCAAGCACAUCUCAACCGAAUUUCCUCGAAGGCGACGUAGUUGCCGAGGAAGUCGGUCACAUUGAUUUUGUAAUUGUUGCCGAAGUCGAGUCAACAACAAAAGAUGACAACCUCAAGGUAGCUUUGGCCGAAUUAUUUCCUCGAUCAUCAUCGGCCAAACUUCAUCAUUUGAAGCCAUUGUAUAUCACGGCCCAUAUUGAAGGGUAUCUAGUCUCCAAAGUUUUUGUUGACUGUGGAGCCACCAUCAAUAUUAUGCCUGUAAACAUCAUGAAGGCAUUACAUCGCUCUAAUGACGAACUUAUGCCCUCUGGGAUCACAAUGAGUAGUUUCGUCGGAGACAAAUCCCAAACCAAAGAGGUGUUUCCUUUAGCGGUAAACAUCACUGGCCAUAAUCACAUGAUCGCCUUUUUCAUCGUCGACUCCAAGACCGAGUACAAUGCACUGCUCGAUCGAGAUUGGAUUCAUCAAACCAGCUGUAUUCCUUCAUCAUUAUAUCAAGUGCUCAUGUUUUGGGACAGCAAAUCGAUCAUUGUUCACCCGACUGAUAAUCAGCCCUUUGAAGCUAACAUGAUCCAAGCACGGUAUUAUGAUGACCACGUCGGCUACAUCACCUUACAAGGUUUCAAUGAUGAAGGCCGGCCGACUCGGAUUUCUGUUCAGAAAGCUAUCGAGGUUGGCGCCGAAACUGUCCGCUAGGAUUCGACGAGACUCGGGUUAGCUAACUUCAUCCCUGACCCCGAUGUCUGACACCAAUCGGGAAAAACAUCGGGCCGCAGUUUCAUCUACUAUGGAACGACUGCUGGCUCAUUGGUAUACUAUAUCUAAGCAACCAAAUUCAGGCAUUAACCUCGUAGAGUUCCUCACCGAAUGAGAUAAUGGUCAUGUCUUAUCUUUUGACAAAAUUAAAGCUGCCCCGGCCAAGCUCGAAGACAAUCGGCCCCAAGUCAAGGACCCAUUGGAAGAAAUUAAUGUUGGGACGGCCGAUGAGUAUACAAUGCCGAUUUCGGAUUUGUUAAUCAAUGUUGCAGCGAAUCAUGCGAUCUUAUCUUUUAUGGAUGGACAGGCCGGGUACAACCAAAUUUUCAUUGCUGAAGCCGAUGUGCACAAGACUGCUUUUUGCUGCCCGGGGGCACUCGGUACAUACGAAUGGGUUGUCAUGCCAUUUGGCCUCAAGAACAUUGGUGCCACGUACCGACAAGCAAUGAACACCAUAUUUCAUGAUUUAAUUGGAACCAUCGUCGAAGUCCACAUCGACGAUGUUGUAAUCAAAUAUAAACGUUGGCAGACAUAUCUGGAUGAUCUCCAACAGGCUUUCCUCCGUAUGCGUCAACACAACCUCAAAAUGAAUCCUGCCAAAUGUGCCUUUGGUGUGUCAGCCGAUAAUUUUCUUGGUUUCCUCAUGCAUCACUGUGGGAUUGAAGUGGAUGAAAACAAAGCACACGUAAUCAUCAAUGCUCCACCCCCGACGACGAAGAAACAACUACAGUCCUUACUCGGUAAGAUCAAUAUUCUCCGCCGAUUUAUAGCUAACUUGGCGGGUAAAAUGAAAGCGUUCUCUACGCUUUUGAAACUCAAUGACUCAGAUAAAUUUAAGUGGAAAGAUGAGCAUCAAGCGGCGUUUACGCAAAUCAAAGUCUCCCUCACGACACCACCUGUCCUUGUCCUACCCCGGCGCGGUAAGCCUCUAAAGCUAUACAUCUCGGCAUCCAAAUAGUCUAUCGACUGCCUCCUCCCGCAAAACAAUGACGCCGGAUAAGAGCAGGCUAUUUUUUAUCUAAGUCAAAAUCUCAAUCAACCAGAGAUUAAUUAUUCCGCCGUCGAGAAGCUCUGCCUAGCCGUAUUUUUUGCCGCCUCCAAGCUUAGGCAUUGCAUGCUCCCAUCGAUCACCCAAGUCAUUGCCCAGACCGAUGUCAUCCGCUACAUGCUCACCCGACCAAUUGUAAAAGGUCGAAUUGGGAAGUGGACAAUGGCGUUGUUUGAGUUUAGCUUGCAAUAUGUGCCCCAGAAAGUUGUCAAAGGCCAGGCACUGGCUGAUUUCCUUGCUCAACACCCUUCCCCAUAUGGUUUUGGGGGCAACGACGUCGAAAUCGACAUGGUUGAAACGUGCGAUAACUACUAGACGAUGUACUUUGACAGCUCAAGUACUUCAUCCUCGGCUGCCGUUGGAAUUGUCAUUCAAUCUCUAAACCACGAUCGUUGGUAUUUUUCGCUCAAGCUGGAUUUUGAAUGCACAAAUAAUCAGGUCGAAUACGAAGCCCUUAUCAUCGGGCUUAGAAUCCUUCAUGACUUGCGGGCGACCAGUGCCCUCAUCUUCGGCGACUUCGAACUUGUGAUUAACUAACUUAAUGGUUCUUUUCAAACCAGUGCCCUCAUCUUCGGCACCCUACCACAUGGUUGCCAGCUAUUUGGCCAAAUCCUUCGACGGUAUUACAUUUGAACAUAUUUCCCAGAUUCAUAAUACCGACGCAGACGAAAUGGCUCAAAUCGUCUCCGGUGCAUAGCUCCUGGGGGGUAAGCUAGGCCGAGAAAUACCCAUGUUACGACAACUAUACCUGGCCUUGGUUAACCAGCAAGUCCUCUGACGUGACAACGUGAUACGCACAAGAGUUAUGUCCUUACCUUCGUUGUUAGACCGACAUGACCUUAUAGAUGUUUGCGCCAUCAAGGCAAUACCAGAUGGUUGGAGAAAGCCCAUUAUGACGUAUCUUGACAAUCUCAAUGGCAAACACAAUCGCAAGACAAGAGUUCACGCCACAAACUAUGUCAUGUAUCAAAACGAGUUAUACCGAAAAGGUGAGGAUGGUCUAUUACUGUUAUACCUCGGCCCCCAAGAGGGUGCUCAAGCAAUCACGGAAGUCCACGAAGGGGUUUGUGGAGCUCAUCAGUCCGGACAUAAAAUACGAUGGUUGCUUUGACGACACGGCUAUUUUUGGCCAAUAAUACUAAAGGAUUGAUCGAGUUCGCACGAGGGUUCAUGCAGUGUCAGAUUCAUGGUCUUAUACAAAUGGUCCCGGCUGAAUCAUUACAUUAGGUCACUAAACCAUGGUCGUUUAGAGGAUGGGCCAUGGACGUAAUCGGCAAAAUCAUACCAUCUUCCGGGGCUGCUAAGCACGCAUGGAUACUGGUAGCAACCGAUUACUUCACUGAGUGGGUCUAAGUAAAAUCGUACGCCGAGCUAACGUCUAAAGAAGUUUGCGACUUUGAGGAAGAACAGAUUGUGACCAGAUUCGGCGUACUAGAAAUGAUCAUAACUGACAAUGGCACAAUCUUUACAGCCAAGAGGUUUAAAGAAUAUACAGCAAGUUUGAAAAUUCAGCUUGAACAGUCUACACCAUAUUAUCCACAAGCAAAUGGGCAGGCCGAGGCAAUUAACAAAGUGUUGAUCGGCAUUCUAGAGAAAAUAAUAAAAGAAAGGCCCGGCAUGUGGCAUUUAAAGUUGAAUGAGGCUUUAUGGGCAUAUCAAACAUUGUUCCGAUCGGUGACUGGGACAACCCUGUAUGCACUAACCUACGAACACGAUGCAAUGUUACCAGUCGAGUUAAGCAUAAAUUCGUUGCGAAUAAUUGAACAAAGUAGUCUGUUCAGCGCCGAAUAUAAUCAAUCCAUGAGACAGGAGUUAGAAGAUUUAGAAGAAACGUGACUUGAUGCUUAUAACUUGUUGGUGGCAAAAAACAGAUUGCCGAGCAAGCCUAUAAUCAAAAGGUCUGACAAAAAACAUUUGGCGAGGGAGAAUUUGUUUGGAAAAUGGUGUUGCCCGUAGGACUUAAAGACCCCAGGUUCGGCAAAUGGUUGCCAAAUUGGGAAGGGCCGUUUGUUGUACAUAAAGUAUACGGCAAAGGGGCAUAUCAUCUUAGAGACCGGACCGGUUUAGUUCAUAAAUUACCUAUCAAUGGGAAGUUGUUGAAGAAGUAUUAUCCGAUCAGAUGGGAAAUACGGGAAUAAAAAUCCAUUUCAUUAAAAGAUCGAUAAAAGAAUACACAAAUUAAGUAGGUCGAUCAGUUUACAUUUAAAUAAAUUCAUGGUGAAGAAGGGAGAAGAGUGCUGAGAAGGGCCUUCAGCUCCAGCCAUCGCUCCUCGCCCAUUAUGACAUCGGCGUGCCGGUUCUUCUUGUCCAUCUUCAACUGCUCGAUUCAUUUCGCGCUCGCCGUAUACUCGGUAAAACAAUCUUUGCCACCCGACUCGAAGUCCUUUGCAAGCUCAGAAGCAAUAGCCAACCUUCGUUUUGCCAAUUCGACUAUUUGACUGUCGAGGUCGGCCAAGGGUUGCCCUUUCACCUUUAAAGCAUCAAUCUUCGGAUGAAGAGUGUCUUGGACGGCCAUGGCAGCUUUCAGAUCUUGUUCAGCCCGAAGAGCAUUCUCAAGGACACUGAAGAUUUCCCAAACUCGCUCUAAGGCGGACGAUGCCUGAACGAUGGCUUCGGCGCUCAUUCGAUCAUCUGCGCCGAGGUCGUUUAGGCAUGCACCCAAUAAAUCGAGGCCUUUACGCUCAAGGACUUGUGAUGCAGAGAGAGACAAAACUUCUUGCACCUGAACCCGAGCAGUUAAAUCGGCAGGUUCAGUUGUAGUCGCCGAAGGGCCAGCCACUCCAGUAGUGCUUGACAGAAGGGCUUUAAACUCGACUUCCCAUGAAGGCUGCACAUGAAAAUCAGCUUAAGCUCAAGGAUAUCAUGAAAGAACAUAACAAGAAGGUUUUGUUUUAAACCUACCAAGAGGAGACUUCGACAAUGUCUUCAGGUUCAUUGCUCGAACCUAAAUAACUUAAUGGCCGAGCCCAGUGGCUUAGACUGCUUCUCAGUUCAUGCGGCUGAUGAAGGUUAUCUAUGUUCGAUGGCCACGGAGGUGGCCAAGAAAUAUAGAUAACACCCUUCCGCGCAUAGAAUUUUCGAUGAAAAGAAUAGGUAGUCACCUGACAUUUGGUAUCUUUCUGGUUUGGAAUCCUAAGGCAGAAAAGUAACCAAAAGAGAGGCAAUAGGGGUACUAACGAAGGCCGAAGUGUCUUCUUGGGGAGGAAUAUUGAGGUCCUAGUCCUGCGGGUGAAUUGGCGUUUCAACCGUUGCCUCGGGCUCUACGGAGGGUCGUUUUCCACGGUCAACCGUAGAAGGGCCGACUUGAAUAACCACCUCGUCCUAGUCUUGUAGGUGAACAGGCGUUUUCGCCGUUGCCUCUGGAUCUAUGACAGGUCGUUUUCCACGGUCGGCCGUCGAAGGACCAACUUGAACAACCGCCUUGGACACAGGAGGAGGUUGAUUUCGUGGUUGGAGGAGACUCACCAAGGGAAGUUCGUCGCUCCCAUCACUCACUUCUAAAACAACCGCUGUUUGUUUUGGAUUUUUGGGAAGAGUUUGCUCAACCGAGUGGAUCGCCCCUUCCAAGACAGGCGCAGCAGUUGGCCCCGAGGCUACAGGCGCCUUGACCGACGGAGUAACAAUUGCUUCAUCGACUUUGGAAACAGGCCGGAUUAGGGUUGUGUCUUUGGCUGGAAGGGACCGUCUCUUCGUUGAAGGAUGAACGACGGGGGUAAAAGGGGAAAUACUAGGAGUCGUUGUCCCCAUAGUCUUGCUGGAGAUAACAUGAAUCUCCCGUUCUCCCUUCUUCGCCAGUUUCUUGACCCUUUUAGCAGGUCGAGGGGGGUCGAUAGUCGACUCGAUUUCUUGGCGAGGCCGUUUGCUCAGCAAGGCCUAUGCGGUGGUCUUAGCUCUCUUGGAGAAGGUCGAUUUCUUCUCAGCCACAGCCGCAGCCACCACUUCUACCUUUUUCAAUGACCAACUACCUGAGAAAGUAAAAGCAAAUCAGUAAAGUUCAAAGUCGAAGGAAGAAGGUGGAAAUAGACCAUUACUUUGGGAUUAGGGGGCAUAAGCCUUUUUAGGUCGACCACUAAAGACCUUGCUCAGGACAUCUUCAACCGGAGUACCGAAAAAAAUGUUGGGUAUAUUCUUCCCACUAAUCGCCGAAAGUGUCAGUACAAAGAGAUUCUGGAAUGGUUGGUCGAAGGUGGAAUUUCUGACACCAUUCCUGAAACUCUUUUUUGGCAUCGUUGCACUCUUUUUCUAAAGAGCCAGAAAGGCGCCCUGGGCUCAACAAUGAGCGAGAGGUAAGAAGAGGCACCAGACAACCCUGAAGAUAGCCGAGUUACCGAGCAGUGAAUUGGGGGUGAUAUUGAUGCGAAAUAUUAUAAGCACACAAAUUAAACCCUCUUUUUGACAAUUGUAGUAUAGAUGUAAGUAAGGUAUCGUUCUAAACCGGGGAUUAGGAGGGCUUGCUAAAACCUCUAAACUGACUCAAAACAAAAAGAAAUAAAGUUAAAAAUGUAAACCAAAGACUUUUAAAACAAGAAAGUAAAAGGGGGAUUUGGGUUUGGUGAAGUUGAAAGUAAAACAAAUAAACUAAAACUUAAAUAGAUUUUUAAGUAGGCAGAUUAUAAAACGAAUUUGAGAAAUAAGAUGAUGGAUGGAUUAGUUAGAGGUCCGUUCUUCACACAUGACACACUUGUACAUGAAUCGAUUUCCAAUUGCUUUUCAAUAAACUAUGAUGCUCAACACCCCAGAUUGACCGUGAUGCACAAAUUAACCCUCAGAUUUUCCUUUACUUAUUGAAUUGGAUGAAUGCAUGCGACAAUCCAAAUUAUUCUCUAAAAGUCCCCUAUAUGAAUGCAUAAUAGAGAUACAAUCAGAGAUCAUUAUGUUCAAUGAAAAUCAUAAGUGUUGAUGAGGCAAUUGUAACUAUGAAUGCAUGAUACGUUUGUCAAGAAUUCAAUUAACGCGAUUGUGACAAGCAACCUUCACUACUCAUGAAUAUAAACUUGUAACAAUUAGGUGAAACUCAUUUAUAUUCUAGCAUCUAAUUCAUGUAUGAAAACUAAGUAUGCAUCCUUAAUAAACAAACAAGAAUCAGUUAUGAAGAAAAUAGAUAAUUGAAUUGCAAUCACAACUUAUCAAAUCACAAUUGGAAGAAAUCAAUUCAUAUCACAAGCAUGUUCAUGGCUUCAAACUUCCCCCUAACUAAAUAGGGGUUUAGUUCCUCAUGUUCACAAAACAAAGAUAAAUAGAAUUAUACAUUGAAAACAAAAGAAAGAAAACACCUAAACGUUCCAACGAUCCAUGUUGGAUAGCAAGCACGUACAAGAAAUUUCCUCUUCUUCUUUGUUGCAACACAAGGUUGGAGUGAUGUUUUGAAGGGUUGGUUAUGUGGAGGAAUGGAUGGGAAGGAGUUUAGAUAUGUAGGGAGAGGCAAGGCAAGGCUUGGAGAAUGGUUAAUUUCUGGAUGAUUUGAAUGAGGUUGCUGCCAUGGUAUUUAUAGGAAAAGGAUGGACUUGUUUAACACAAAAUUCUGGUGGAAUUGAGUAGGUGAGCACGGCAAGAGUGGGAAUUGUUGGUGGGUUAGGUAUUGAGUCAUCCAUUCACAUGUCAUGGUAAGUUAAGCAUUGCAUCAUCCACUCACAUAUCAUGGUGAUUUAAGCAUUGCAUCAUCCACUCACAUGUCAUGGUGAUUUAAGCAUUGCAUCAUCACUCAAAUUUCUGGUGAAAGUGAAUCAAUGCCCACGGCAUUGAAGAAUUUCUUGGUUUUGAGUGAAGUUUUGGUCAAUCCUUCUAGAAAUUUAUCCCUUCUUGCAACUUGUAUUUGUUUCACCAGAUUUUAAGCAUGUUCAUAGCCUCUUUUGUCUUCAAAUUCGUCCCUCCUCAUGCCUCCAUGCUUGCACAAUCCAAUCUUGGCCCAAAAAUGCUCUAGAAUGUUCCAAAUUGCUCCUUUUUGCAUACUUUGACAAUAAAACCUGAAAUUGCACGAAAAUGACUUUAAACACUAAACUAACUAAGGAAAAAUAACAUAAAUGCAUGAGAACAAGCCAAUUAAGUCGCAUAAAAAUGCUCCUAUCAAAUUCCCCCACACUUAGCUUUUGCUAGUCCUCGAGCAAAACAAAGAAAUAAAACAAAACAAAACCAACAAACAUAACCUAAACCUUCCAACGUUUGCCUCAGGGAUUUCCAAUGCACAUGUCAUGUUAAAGAUUAUCAUUCCCAUAGAUUUGAGUCAAUUUAACACUUAAGCACAUACUUAAUCAUAGUCACUACUUACUAGUUCACAAUUAACCAAUUAAAACAAUGUUUUGAAUGUAGUAACAUGCCUUAGAGAAUUCCCUCAAUCCUUACAAGAUAUGCACUCUAUUUUCACUCAGAUUUUCUAACUACACACCCUAUACUAGUUAUAUGUGAGAGAAUUGAUGUAGAUAUAAAAACGAAUGCUCACAUAUAUGUAUCACAAAGAACGCAAUUUCCGGAGUUAACAAGCAUGUUUAGAUAUGAUAUCAUGAAUGGAAUGCUACUACUUAGAUGCGAGAACCAGUGACACCAUAUGCUCAUACCAAAUUCAAACUCCACAAAUUGAAACACAUAACACUGAAGAUAGAAGUUAAGGGUUGCAACGGGGCUUGGGGUUUUGGUUAACAAAGAAAGGAUAGGGAAAACAAACGUUCUUCAAGCAUUAGUACGCAAAGUAAUGGAAUUAAGACUUAGAAUUCACUUAGAUUGCAGAAAUUAACUUUAAAACACAAAGGGAAGACUUAGACAACUCCUUAGGGUCGAAUUCAUUGUUUUGGACCCUUACUUCAACAAACAAUACUUUGGAACACUUUUUUCACAUCUUUUCAACUCUUUUUUUUUAUUUUUUAUUUUUUUAUUAUUAUUAUUAUUAUUAUUAUUAUUAUUAUUAUAUUAUUAUUAUUAUUAUUAUUUUCUUUCUACCCAUGCCUAUGGCACACAAUUGACAAAAUAAAAACUUCCCCCACACUUGGUUUCUGCCACAAAGGAAUUCAAUUUGAAUCAUGCUUACUAUACUUUAAGAACGAGGGUAUGGAUAGUCCUAAUCUAGGUUAAGUGAGGGUAAUGUGGGUUAACAAAGAAAAGGCUAAACAAGGCUCAAUGGGGUUAACACCUACAAAACAUAAUGACAUAGGGAUUCAUGGCUUUUUGGCUAAGGUGGUGGUCACUACACAACUUUAUCUUGAAUAUGUGUUAUGCUAAUGAAUAACAUGCUUUGAAUGAAAUGGGCAUGAGUUCUAGUGUUUGGAACUAAAUGAUGAAACGCCUUCUAAGUAGCAACCAAGCAAAGAAUAAUGAGAUCAUGUAACGACUUUAGAAAACAAAGAAUGCACAGAUUUUGACUCUCCAAAUAAACGUUUAGGCUCAAGUCUCACAAGGUUGUAGCAUUAAUUUGAGUUCCUUCCUUCAAGUGAUUACAUGUGAAUUCAUAAGUUAUAACCACAACCAAGCAUAAACCAAAGAGUAAAUCAAACUUUUAUCCAUGUUUAUAAAUUUCUUUAACCGUCAUGCAAUUACAAACCGAAUCCUCAUCAUUGUGUUGGAAGGUACCCUAAGACACAAACAAACACACAAAAACAACUCUUUUUGGGUUUUUAAAACAAAUUUUCAAAUUUUUAUGGGAUUUUCGGAUUUUUUUUACUUAAAACACACUAAAACACACCAAAAACAGCUUAAAAAGGCUUAAAAACAGUGAAAAACAACAUUAGAAAUUAUGAGUGAGAAAACCCUACGAAUUUGCAUCAAAAACACUUUGGUUACCCCCCCACACUUAAAUCAAACAUUGUCCUCAAUGUUUCAAGCAUAGACUAACACAAAUAACAAACAAACAAACAAAACAGCAACUAAGCAAUUUAACAUGGCAUAAAUGAAAACAACAACAAAAGAGAAGGGUUUAGGAACGCAAAUCUGGAAUUGGAGUGCUCUCUAUGUCCUCCUUUGUUGAAUGCAUGGGUUGCCUCCCAAGUAGCGCUUGCUUUAACGUCGUACAGCCGGACGAAGACCUCAUUCACUCCUUACUAGGGCCCACGGCAUUCAAGGGUAUGUCAUCCACGGCAUGCUCCACAAAGGUGUCAUAAUAAGGCUUCAAACGAUGCCCGUUCACCUUGAAUUCUUGUCCCGUUUUCAAGCUUUGGAUUUGGACUGCACCAUGAACAAAAACAUUAGUAAUAACAAACGGUCCAAUCCACUUAGAACGUAACUUACCGGGAAACAAACGUAAACGGGAAUUGAACAAUAGCACUUUCUGCCCAAUUGAGAAUGAUUUCCCACGGAUCAUGUUGUCAUGGAAAGCUUUGGUCUUUUGCUUGUAAAUGCUUGCAUUAUCAUACGCCUCGUGCCGUAUCUCAUCAAGCUCAUUCAAUUGCAAUCUCCUUUGACUUCCCGCUUCAUCGAGGUUCAUGUUAAACUUCUUGAUGGCCCAAAGUGCUUUGUGCUCCAAUUCAACGGGAAGAUGGCACGCCUUGCCAUAGACAAGUCGGAAGGGGGACAUCCCAAUGGGGGUUUUGUACGCCGUACGAUAAGCCCAAAGUGCAUCAUCUAACCGUAAGCUCCAAUCCUUCCGUGUUGGCCCAACGGUCUUCUCAAGUAUUUGUUUGAUCUCUCGGUUGGAAACUUCGGCUUGGCCAUUCGUUUGAGGAUGGUAAGGUGUAGAAACCUUAUGGGUGACACUGUAUUUCCUCAAUAACGCUUCAAUGGUCCGAUUGCAAAAAUGUGACCCUCCAUCACUAAUGAUCACUCGUGGCAUUCCAAACCUUGCAAAAAUGUUAGUUCUAAUAAAAUCUGCAACCACUUUAGAAUCAUUAGUUCGGGUGGUCUUGGCUUCCACCCAUUUCGACACAUAAUCAACCGCAAGCAAAAUAUACAUGAAACCAUACGAUGAAGGGAAGGGACCCAUAAAAUCAAUACCCCAAACAUCAAAAAUUUCAACAUUUAGGAUAGAAACUUGCGGCAUUUGGUCCCUAGCACUAAUACCACCCAUUCGUUGGCAUUUAUCACAUGUUAAGCAAAACGUUUUAGCAUCUUUAAAAAUACUCGGCCAAUAGAAACCACAUUGUAACACCUUGAGGGCUGUGCGUUGUGUGCCAAAGUGCCCUCCACAUGCAUAAGUGUGACAAAAACUCAAAAUUGAAUGAUAUUCAGAAUCAUGCACACAACGACGAACAAUUUGAUCCGGGCAAAAUUUCCACAAAUAUGGAUCAUCCCACACAUAAAACCAUGCAUCAUGCCUAAGUUUUAUCACGUUGGUGCCUAGUGUAAGUGCUUGGAAUUCGUUUUGUCACCAAAAAGUUCACCAAAUCAGCAUACCAAGGCUCACUAACCUUUAUGGACAGCAAUUGUUCAUCGGGGAAUGUCUCCAAAAUCGGCAAAGCCUCAUCAUUAUGCACCAUUCGGCUCAAGUGGUCAGCCCACUACGUUCUCACUUCCCUUCUUGUCACGAAUCUCUAUGUCGAACUCUUGAAGUAGCAACAUCCACCGAAUUAGCCGUGGCUUGGCCUCCUUUUUGGUGAGCAAGUACUUCAAUGCUGCAUGGUCAGUGAAAAAAACAAUUACUUUAGUACCAAUUAGAUAUGAUAUCUAAAUCUAAACUUAUCUAAGCAGCAAAACAACGGCAAGAAGUUCUUUUUCUGUAGUGGAAUAGUUCAAUUGUGCAUCAUUCAACGUCCGUGAGGCAUAGUAGAUGACGUGUGGCUUUUUGUCCUUCCUUUUGUCCCAAAACAGCCCCUAAAGCGUAGUCGGACGCAUCGCACAUAAGCUCGAAAGGUAGGCUCCAAUCUGGUGGAACAAUGAUGGGUGGGUGCAGUGGUUAACAACUCCUUGAGUUGAUUUAAUGAUGCCGUGCACUCCUUUGGUGAAUUCAAACGCCACUUCUUUUUGUAGGAGACGGCAAAGAGGUUGUGCUAUCUUCGAAAAAUCUUUGAUAAACCUACGAUAAAAUCCUGCAUGACCAAGAAACGAACGAACCUCUCUAACCGAAGUCGGAGAGGGUAAGUGACGUACUAGAUCUAUUUUGGAUUUAUCCACCUCAAUGCCGUUUUCAGAGAUAAUAUGCCCUAAAACUAUGCCUUGUUUUUACCAUAAAGUGACACUUUUCCCAAUUUAAAACGAGGUUAGUUUCCAUGCAUCGUUUUAAGAUUAAUGUGAGAUUUUCCAAGCAACCAUCAAACGAAUCGCCAAAACACUAAAAUCAUCCAUGAAUACCUCAAUAAUCUUCUCAAUAAAAUCUGAAAAAAAAUACUUACCAUGCAUCGUUGGAACGUGGCCGGUGCAUUGCAUAAACCGAAUGGCAUGCGGCGGUAAGCAAAAAGUACCAAAUGGGCACGUGAAGGUGGUCUUUUCUUGGUCUUCCGGAGCUAUGACAAUUUGAUUAUAUAUCCCGAAUAACCGUCAAAGAAAACAAUAAAAAGAAUGACCGGCUAACCUUUCUAGCAUUUGAUUCGAUCGAUGAAUGGUAGUGGAAAGUGGUCCUUCCUUGUGGUGUUGUUGAGCUUCCUAUAGUCAAUGCAUACUAUCCAACCUGUUUGAAUACGGGUUGGCACAAGCUCAUCCUCGGCAUUCUUCACCACAGUGACUCCGGACUUCUUUGGGACAACUUGAACCGGUGAGACCCAACGGCUAUCCGAAAUUGGAUAAAUCACCCCACAAUCUCGAGAAGCUUUAUAAUCUCCUUUUUCACGACUUCCAUCAUUGGAGGGUUGAGUCGGCGUUGAGCCUCUCGAGUUGGUUUAGCCCCCUCCUCUUGAAAGAUGCGAUGCGAUGCAUGCACGUGUGUUAGGGCUAAUUCCCUUAAUAUCGGCCAAUGUGUCCAUCCGAUGGCUGUUUUGUGCUCUUUCAACACCCAAAUCAACUUUUCUUCCUCUAAUGCCGUGAGUGAUGAAGAGACAAUGAUGGGCAACGUCUCUUCCUCUCCCAAGAAUGCAUACUUUAUUUAAAUGAUCCGGCAACGGUUUAAGCUCAAGAACGGGGGCCUGAAUCACAGAAGGUAACAACGUAUUAGUGGAAACGGGAAUUGGGAAUUGGGUUAGACGGCUUACCAUGAUGUUUUGGCAAUGAUUCCAAGGCAGCCACAAGCUCGGCUUGUUCAUCAUUUGGUACGGCCAUGUUGGGGUUUUGUGCCAAAUCCUUGUGCAAUUGUGCAAUUGUCGUUUCGAGUGGAUCGUCUUCCAACAUAUCAAGAUCAUCCUGCGCCAAUUCAUCCAAUAUAUCAAUAGAAAAAACAAGAAUGACCAUCUUUAGGAAAUUUCAUAGCUUCAGAAAAUGUUAAAGUUAAUAAUCUCCCCAUCAAAUUCCAUUGUCAACGUCCCUUUGAACACAUCGAUCUUGGUGCGUGCUGUUUUCAUGAAUGGCCUCCCAAGUAGAAUCGGCAAUGGGUGACAUUUGGUGGAUUUGGUCAUCCAUCUCUAAAACGUAGAAAUCCGCUGGAAAUAUCAAGUUAUCCACCUGCACCAACACAUCUUCCAAAACUCCUUUUCGGAUAUACAUUAGAACGAUCGGCUAAUUGAAUUAUAACACCAUCGUUUUUAAGCUCUCCUAAGUUCAUGGAUGCAUAUAUUGAGUAUGGCAUGACAUUAAUUGAAGCUCCUAGAUCUAACAUAGCAUGUUCAAAUUUAGUAUUGCCUAUAACACAUGGAAUUGUAAAACUUCCCGGAUCUUUGCAUUUAGGAGGUAAUUUUCUUUGCAAAACAGCGGAAACAUUCUCACUUACCUGGACAACCUCUUUGUUUGAAAUUCUCUUUCUUGUUGUACAUAGUUCCUUCCAAAACUUGGCGUACCUAGGUACUUGCUUAAUUGCGUCAAGGAGAGGUAUAUUGACUUGCACUUUCCGGAACGUCUCUAGAAUGUCCUUUUCAGCUUCUUCUUUCUUUGUUUGCUUGAACCUACUAGGAAAGGGGACAUUCAAAGGAAAAUCAUUAGUAGGAAUGGAAAUGGACACGGUUGUACCUUUAUUUGGCAGAUUGGAUGGCUUAGGAGCCAUGGAGACUUGCGGCAAAGGAACCUCUUUCCUUGCCGUGGCCAACCCUUGUUCCUCCUCUUCAAUUAUCACUUCCUCCACCUUGUUUGGGGCUGAUUUGGAUGGUGGUGGGGCUGUUCCAACUUGUUUCCCGCUUUCUUAAACAUGAUUGCCUUGGCAGAUUCAAAGCCUCCUUUUGGAUUUGCAAUGGUUGAGCUAGGCAACCUGCCUUGCUCUCGAAACUGCCCCAUGAACUCGGCAAUUUGCCCUACUUGUUUCUCCAACUCGUCCACCUUUUUGUCCCUAUUUUGCAUUCCCUGCGCCAUAGAAGUUAGUAAAUUAAAAAUUUGAUCAUUAUCAAUAGACGAACCUGAUUUUUGGGCAGGUUGUGCUUGGGGUUAAGUUGGUGCAAACGGCUUUUGAUAGAAACCCGGGGGUUGUUGCCUAAAUCCGCUUUGUUGUUGGCCUUGUUGGGGUUCUCGCCAUUUGAAAUUUGGAUGAUCACGCCAACCGGGAUUGUAAGUAUUGGAAAAGGGGUCAUUCCUUGGUUGGUAUUGGUUGCCAAAUCCCACGGCAUUGAGGGUCUCCCACCCUCCAUUUUCUAUCAACUGUGGGCACUUAUCCGUAAGGUGGCCUUGCAUGGAACACAUGCCACAAGCUGCCACGUUUUGCACUUUUGGACCUUCCACUACUUGAGAAAGCAAAGUAGUAAGGUUAGCCAUUUGAUUUUGAAGUUCGGUUAUGGCACUUACCUCAUUGACUUGAUGUGGUCGUGGGUUACUCCUUUGUCCAACGCCUUCGUAUUGUUGAGCAUUCAACGCACGGACGGUUGGAAAUUAAAGUCUUUGCUGCCGUGGGGGUCUUGUCCACCAAGGCUCCUCCCGCCGAGGCAUCUAGCAUUUGACGUUCGAUAGGUAGUAGCCCCUCGUAGAAGUAUUGCAAAAGAAGAAGUUCCUCCUUCAUCUGAUGUUGUGGACAAGAAGCAACAAGAGAUUUAAAACGUUCAUAAUAAGUAGGAAAAAGAUUCACCUUCCUCUUGUUGAAUUCCACUUAUCCUUUUCCGUAGGAGGAUGACUCGAGAAGUUGGGAAAAACUUCUCCAAGAAGGCCCGUUUCAUGCUUUCCCAUGAUGUGACGGUUCCGGGCGCCAAUUCGUACAACCAAUCCGUCGCCUUUCAUCUUCAAAAUACUCCCAUCGACAUUGACGGGGUCAUGCUCGAACACACACCACCUCGAAUUCUUUCAAGUGUUUGUUAGGAUCUUCCAUGGACAACCCAUGGUACUUCGGAAUGUGGUGUAACAAGCUUGACUUCAAUUCAAAUUCUUCUGUCUUUCCUCGGGCUGCUGCGGGGUAUUGGAUACAUAGAGGCGCGGCAUUGUCCAAUCCCGGGGCUGAAAGUUCUUUGUUCGAUUGUCCACCUCCAUGUCUUUUUCUGCCUCCUCCUUUUCUUCAAAUUCGGAUUCAGAACUAGAACUAGGUGGAUUAGGUUCUGGUACUUUCCUUUUCCUUCUCAAAGUUCGUUCAAAAUUGUCGUCAAACUCCGAUAUAUGUGUACGAACUGGUUGAGAACUACGAGUCAUAAACUAGUACCUGAAAUAAACAAAAUCAAAUAAAGUUAAAACUAAAAUUAAAACACACAAAAAAAAGAAAUAAAAAGAAACAAUGGGGAUUUAGCAAAGUUGCUAAUCCUCGGCAACGGCGCCAAAAUUUGAUGCGAAAUAUUAUAAGCACACAAAUUAAACCCUCUUUUUGACAAUUGUAGUAUAGAUGUAAGUAGUAGGGUAUCGUUCUUAAACCGGGGAUUAGGAGGGGCUUGCUAAAAACCUCUAAACUGACUCAAAAAACAAAAAGAAACAAAGUUAAAAAUGUAAACCAAAGACUUUUAAAACAAGAAAGUAAAAGGGGGAUUUGGGUUUGGUGAAGUUGAAAGUAAAACAAAUAAACUAAAACUUAAAUAGAUUUUUAAGUAGGCAGAUUAUAAAACGAAUUUGAGAAAUAAGAUGAUGGAUGGAUUAGUUAGAGGUCCGUUCUUCACACAUGACACACUUGUACAUGAAUCGAUUUCCAAUUGCUUUUCAAUAAACUAUGAUGCUCAACACCCCAGAUUGACCGUGAUGCACAAAUUAACCUUCAGAUUUUCCUUUACUUAUUGAAUUGGAUGAAUGCAUGCGACAAUCCAAAUUAUUCACUAAAAGUCCCCAUAUGAAUGCAUAAUAGAGAUACAAUCAGAGAUCAUUACGUUCAAUGAAAAUCAUAAGUGUUGACGAGGCAAUUGUAACUAUGAAUGCAUGAUACGUUUGUCAAGAAUUCAAUUAACGCGAUUGUGACAAGCAACCUUCACUACUCAUGAAUAUAAACUUGUAACAAUUAGGUGAAACUCAUUUAUAUUCUAGCAUCUAAUUCAUGUAUGAAAACUAAGUAUGCAUCCUUAAUAAACAAACAAGAAUCAGUUAUGAAGAAAAUAGAUAAUUGAAUUGCAAUCACAACUUAUCAAAUCACAAUUGGAAGAAAUCAAUUCAUAUCACAAGCAUGUUCAUGGCUUCAAACUUCCCCCUAACUAAAUAGGGGUUUAGUUCCUCAUGUUCACAAAACAAAGAUAAAUAGAAUUAUACAUUGAAAACAAAAGAAAGAAAACACCUAAACGUUCCAACGAUCCAUGUUGCAUAGCAAGCACGUACAAGAACUUUCCUCUUCUUCUUUGUUGCAACACAAGGUUGGAGUGAUGUUUUGAAGGGUUGGUUAUGUGGAGGAAUGGAUGGGAAGGAGUUUAGAUAUGUAGGGAGAGGCAAGGCAAGGCUUGGAGAAUGGUUAAUUUCUGGAUGAUUUGAAUGAGGUUGCUGCCAUGGUAUUUAUAGGAAAAGGAUGGACUUGUUUAACACAAAAUUCUGGUGGAAUUGAGUAGGUGAGCACGGCAAGAGUGGGAAUUGUUGGUGGGUUAGGUAUUGAGUCAUCCAUUCACAUGUCAUGGUAAGUUAAGCAUUGCAUCAUCCACUCACAUGUCAUGGUGAUUUAAGCAUUGCAUCAUCCACUCACAUGUCAUGGUGAUUUAAGCAUUGCAUCAUCACUCAAAUUUCUGGUGAAAGUGAAUCAAUGCCCACGGCAUUGAAGAAUUUCUUGGUUUUGAGUGAAGUUUUGGUCAAUCCUUCUACAAGCCAAUUAAGUCGCAUAAAAAUGCUCCUAUCAGAUAUACCUCCCAACUUGCUCGAUGAAGGUCACACCCAAGAGAAAGGUUGCGGGUAAGCACAAACGACCCCCAGGAUUGAUGAAGAUUUGUGUCUUCAUCUGCACUCCACGCUGAGGUGGAGAGCUUGAUCGACAAAGGAUAUUCACGACGACGACAGAUCAAGAAUUCGUCGUCGGAAAGGGUGUCAAGGCCAACGAAGUAUCUGAACACGUCUUCAGCUUGGUGAGGAGGUACUGGUCGAGAAGCCACCUGAAGGCCGAGUGCUUCAGCAGACGAGAAGCUGGCAAGCUCUGGAUUAAUUAAGUAAACCUGUAGCCAGAGUUGGAAUACCCAGAGAGGGCCACUCUGGUGUGGGUCGAUCUUGUGAAGGGUCAUCUCGGCCAAACAGCGUAGGAGAUGGGCAAGAAUGGCUGGACUAAGCGCCAGGGUGUGACCACUAGCCAGGGCUUCGGCCACCGGCAUGUUCUCAACCAAGCAUUUGUUGGACUUAGUACAACAAAUAAAUUUGUUAUACCAGUAGAAGAGGAAGGCUUCGUGUUCUCCCCGUUGUAGGUUCUCCUCCUCUCGGCCGGCAAAGUGGAGGUAAAGAGUGUUGUAGUUGAGGAAGUUCUUAUAAAGUUUCUGAACUUCUUCCUUUGAGGGUUCUUGACCCUCCCUGCUCAACGUCUCGAUAGCUCGGUCGUUGAAAAGUGCUUUCAGGUCGAUGGCUGAUGGGUACCCGGAGAGGGUAACAUCAAUCGGGAUGCCGAAAGGGGAAGUCCCUAAGAUCGCGGUAAUAUCAAGAAUGGUAGGGCCAAUGGGGCCAAGGGGAAGGACCAUAGUGUUGGUAGCUGCGCACCAGAAACUUGAGGCUGCCAUAAGAAGCUCCUUGUCCACGACGAGUUCCAUGGACAAAAGGAAAAUGGCAUCGUAAAUACCAAGAGCUUUCCAUUGCUCGCCGAAUAUCUUUUCCAUCUGUGCAAACUAGGCUGCCCAAGUCGCAGUGGUCGAGGGCCAGGAGCCUUGGGGUUUUUUUGAAUCCCACCUCGACCAUUCAAACCCUUGCAGAAAGGAUGUUAGACAUUGCUCCUUGAAGAGUUCAGUGAUGGUUGACGGCACUGGUAUUUUGAAAAGUGGACCAAGGAUCUGAUGGGUGAUGCUCAUGUCACUUUGAAAGCGUAGAGUCUUGAUUGAGCGCUGAUCAAUGAUCGUCUCGCACUUGUCGCAUUCUUUAGAAAGUUUGGAACAAAAGGAGGCCAUUGAAGAUAAUCUUGAAAGGUUGAAAGGUUUUUUGAAGAAUUCAAGGAUUUUCCUCUGGGUCUUUGAACAUGAGAGUUUGGAGAUUUUGAAAGCGUAAAGGAUGAGGAAUAAAAAGCAAGGUAUUUAUAGAAUUGUUUAAGGAAGGGCAAUCGUUUGAAAUUCAAAAUGAAGGGUAAAAUCGACCGAAGAAAUCGUUCAUCAUUACGAACAUUUAGAGAAUCCAGUUGAGAAGACCGAGGGUUUCGUGUUUUAGUGGCGCACGAUUGCAUGUGGCGGCGAGAUUUACGAUGAAAGAUGUUUUGCCGUCUGCACGAUGUUGAAUGGUUAGCGGAUCAAGGUGGCAUGGUUGUUUCAGCAACAAGGUCAUGAUGGUAAGACGGUUCAGUGAGCCGCAUGCUUUAAACAUCACUAUUAGGGGUUAGCCGUGCUAAAGGAUGCCACGUGGUGGUUUGGUCAGCAGGAUCGAGAUCGUGCAAAUCGUGCUCCAUAAAUGCGCCUUGGGAAUAGUGUUUGGAUUUUGAGUAUUAGUUUCACUUCUUCAAGGUCAAAGCUCGACCAAAGAAUUUAGGUUGAAGACCUCAAAAGCAAGGGGUCAAUGUUUGGGCCCAAAAUAUUAGUUUGGGCCGAGUAUAUAAUCAUUCUCAGCCCGGAAGGCCUUACGACAAAGUUAUCAUGGAUUAUUUAGUUCGUGGGCUUCCAAACCUAGGUUGGUUGUGCUGCAAGACGAGUAAUCGAAUCCAGGCACAAUAAGGAGUCUCGGUGAGAUAUGGAUAUGAAUAACCCGGAAGUGAAUCCGGCCUGAUAAAGGAUUGGGUUCAAAAUCAUAGUGAAAGUAGGACUGGUCGAGAUAGUGUUUGAUUAGGAGAAGAAGUACUAAUCCGAGUAGGGUUUUAACUCAACCUAGAAAGUAUCUGGUGCUAUAAAUAGCGGAGGCUGUGCAUCGUUCAACCUCUUCCAACUCAACACACAACUGCCCUGCGCAAACUCUCUCAACAACUUUGAGAUUUUUAUUUUCUCUUUUCGCUUACACAUCUUCCGUUGGCAUCAACAGCACUGUGAAAGCAACCGGUGGUAUCUUCAUUCAGCAUAGAUAGCUCUGUCGUCGUAGAAUCAAUCGAUCUCGCAACAUCUUCCGUUGGUAUCAACAACACUGCGGUGAGGGUGGUUGGUUACCUAUCCAAGUCUCGGUCGAGAAGGAUUUCCGAAUCCUUAUUGAUCGAGGUCAUCUCAUUAGCCUUCUCGGCGAAGUGAGGUGUUACAACUUACUGAGCUCGGCGCAUUGCAUGCUAAGUUAUUUUAUGAUUAGAUACAAUUAAGUGGGAUUUAGAGUUCGACAUUCAGAUGGCCGAACCACAUUCACCAUUAAGACUUAUAUCCGCUUUGAGUAUUUGUGCCCUUACACUUUGGUGUCAAUUCGGCGUGAGUUUACUCUGACGAAUACCAUCACUGUGAUCGAAUCCAACGAUGACGAUUCGUGAACUUCGUAAGAAUAGUAACCUUGUCUUCAGGUUCGAGAACCCAAGAGGCCGAGACAUGUUCCUUCCUCGAUUGCAAUUGUAAGACGCAGAAGUCAACCGCGCACCCAACGCAACAUCAACAAAUUUUACUCCUCAACCGAGCUCAGCCGACGAGUUGGCACGCCCCGCAUUUAACCGAAGGAUGUAGUUAGCUUAUAGAUUACUCGACCUACACGCCACAUAGGUUUAGUAGUUUUUAGGGUCAACAGGUACCAACAAGAGCUUCAUCAAUGGAGGGCAACCACAAUUCUCAAAAUCUUCACACACUCUUGAUCAAGACAGUGUGAAGCAAAACCAAUUUAUGGUGCCAACAAGAGCUUCAUCAAUGGAGGGCAACCAAAAUUCUCAAAAGCUUCACACACUCUUGAUCAAGACAGUGUGAAGCAAAACCAAUUUAUGGUGCCAACAAGAGCUUCAUCAAAGGAGUUCAACCACAAUCCUCAAAAGCUUCACACACUUUUGAUCAAGACAGUGUGAACAAAACCAAUUUAUGGUGACAAUAAAAGCUUCAACAAUGAAGGGCAACUACAACUCGUAGAAAGCUUCACACACUCUUGAUCAAGACUGUUCGAAGCAAAUUCAAUUUUAUGGUUCAUCCAAACCUUCGACUACUACAAGGUGUGGCUUGCAUAACAUUCUCUUGUUCAACAAUGUGGAAGCAAAAUUUGUAUAUGUUGUCUCUCCCACAUUUUCAAAUUUCUAGUUUCCCAAAAAAAAAAAAGGAAAUUGGGAAAUUCAACAAAUUUCUAGUUUUCCAAAAAAAAAAAAUUGAAAAUUCAACAAAGCUUCAUCAAUGGAGGACAACUACAAAUUCUCAAAAGCUUCACACUAUCUUGAUCAAGAUAGUGUGAAGCAAAAUCAAUUUGUGGUACCCAACAAAGCUUCACCACAAAAGCAUCACCAACAAAAGCUUCAUCAAUGGAGGACGACUACAAAUUCUCAAAAGCUUCACACUAUCUGGAUCAAGAUAGUGUGAAGCAAAAUCAAUUCAUGGUACCCAACAAAAGCUUCAACUCUAAAGCUUCACCUACAAAGCUUUAACUCCAAAGCUUCACCUACAAAAGCUUCAACACAAAAGCUUCACCUACAAAGCUUCAACUCCAAAGCUUCACCUACAAAGCUUCAACACAAAAGCUUCACCCACAAUAGCUUCACCCAUAAAAGCUUCACCAACAAAAGCUUCACCAACAAAAGCUUCACCACAAAAGCUUCAUCAAUGGAGGACAACUACAAAGUCUCAAAAGCUUCACACUAUCUUGAUCAAGAUAGUGUGAAGCAAAAUCAAUUCAUGGUACCCAACAAAAGCUUCAACUCCAAAGCUUCACCUACAAAGCCUCAACUCCAAAGCUUCACCUGCAAAAGCUUCAACACAAAAGCUUCACCUAUAGAGCUUCAACUCCAAAGCUUCACCUACAAAGCUUCAACACAAAUGUUUCACCCACAAAAGCUUCACCUACAAUAGCUUCACCUACAAAAGCUUUUCAUUCGAAAAAAAAAAAUAUCGAAAAAAAAAAUUCGAAAAAAAAAUUAAAAAAAAAAAAUUGCCUAGGCCUCCUCUUCUUUGGGCCUAACAACUUUCAUAACAAAUAUAUAUGAAGGAGGAGUUUUGGGCUACCACUUAGAAAGGAAAUGCCUCAUUCGUCAACUCCCUCGACCGGAGACUUGGGGGACUCCUACCAUAUGCUACUGCACCUUCAUACUCGGAAGUCUCACGACCAUCCAGUGACUUGGAUUUUUCAAGUCUCCAACCGAGAAGUUUUCCUCACUUGGGAAAUUAAGGGAGCACUACCUCAACAUACAUGCUUCGCUCUCAAAGCUUCAACAAAAGAAAAAAUUCAAAGAACUUAGUGAAAAAGGCCUUGGUGUAUUUAACACAAUACGUUGAAAUGAAGCAAAGCAUGUUUAUUGAUAUCUCCGCUAAGUUACAAAUAUGUACAUAUACAUGAAUCAAAAUAAACAAACAAGAGGGAGCCUUCACAAAGGUUGCUCAGGAGAAGUCUCAGCAAUCGGCAAAGCCCCAGAGAGAGGAUGCACCGGAGGGUGAUUAUUCGGAGCCUUAGUACUAGGUAGAACCCUAGAAGGAUGAGGCACCGAAGGUUGAUCAUUUGGAGCUUCAUUACGCGGUACAACCCCAGAAGAUGAAGGCAAUAAAUGCCUUUGGAACAAACCCACAAACCUCUGAUGAUCAAGUAAAAUCUGACCAUCAGAUUUCUGCAUCUGGUCAAGCUUCCUCUUCAUGUUUGUAGCAUAGUCAUGUGUGAGCCUGUGCAACUGUUUAUUCUCAUGCUUGAGCCCUCUGAUCUCCUGUUUGAGACUUAUCACUUCAGUCGCCAAUGAUUCAACUUGGUGGGUUCAAGCAAAUAGGCGUUGGGCAAUAUUAGACACAUAAACUGCACACUGAACACUGAGAGCCAGAGAAUCCUUAACAGCUAACUCAUCAGACCGUUUAGAAAGUAGUAUGUUAUCUUUGAGAGUGAGAAGGUUCCUAGCCACCACCACAACGGUCAUAUCAUUCUUCAUCAUAGAGUCCUUAAUGGUAAGAGGACCAAUAGGGGUUCAGAAGGAUGGGCGCCAUAUGUUGUCUUGAGAAGGCAUGGCUGCUUCUUCACCAAAGUUCAAGUCAAAACAACGGUCGAAUGGGCCAGACAUUCUCAGAAAUAUUGAAGGAGAAAUAAGGUGCAAUAAAUCUCUGAAUUAAGGGGAAAAUUCCUACAAGCAAUAACUCUAUGAAUGUACUUCUUGCACACAAUUUGUGCCCUUAUAAAAGAAAAGGCAAUAGGGCCGUUGGUUCAAAAAUUGAAGAGGCACCACUCUUCGGAUUUCGAAGAGACACCACUCUCCACACGCAACAUCAGCUCCUCGGGUACCACAUAUAACUUUGCCAAAGAUCUCUAACAAAGUUUAGACAUAUAAAUUUUAAAGGUCCAGCUACCCUACUAUUACCCACAAGGGUAAAGGAACAGCACCACUGCUUGAUAACUGGAAAGUCCCUAUGUGUGUCAACCUCUGUGCUCCGUGGUAAGGUAGACUAGCAAAAAUGCCCAACCUUUACUCACAUUCUAGAAAACACUCCCAACAAGAUUGCUUGGUCAAAAAAUGAAGAGGCACUGCUCUCCGAAUCUCGAGAGCCAGACUCCCAACAGGAUUACUUGCUCAAAAAUCGAAGAGGCACCGCCCUUCGAAUCUCGAGAGCCAGACUCCCAACAGGAUUACUUUCUUAAAAAUCGAAGAGGCACCGCUCUCCGAAUCUCAAGAGACAGACUCCCAACAUAAUUGCUUUCUCAAAAAUUGAAAAGGCACCGUUCUCCGAAUCUCGAGAGCCAGAUCCCCGACAGGAUUGUUUGUUCAAAAACCGAAGAGGCACCGCUCUCUAAACUUCGAGAGCUAGAUUUCCUUAGAUAAAGCUUGCCUGCAAUCUUCACACGCAACAUCAGCUUUCUAGAUACAACAUACCACUUUUUCAAAGUGCUCUGACAAAGUUAAAACACGUGAAGCUUGCAGCUCCCACUAAAUUGCUAUGACCAAGAAGGGUAAAGGAAUAGCAUUACUACUUGUUGUUAGGGAGACUCCUAUAUAUGUCGACCUCCAUCCUUCAAGGACUGGCAGACCUGCAAAAAUGGUCAACCUUUCCUCAUAUUUGUGAGGGCACUCCCAAUGAAGCCUCUAGAAAUACUCAGCUUUCUUCCCUUUCCCGAUAAAACCUUUGCAAACAAGCCACUCCAGCGCUAGAGUAUCUCAUAUCAUCAGGGUUAAAAGCAAGAGUAUCCCAUAUCAUGCUUUUUCCCUGUCUUUUUCUUUGGCCUUGUUCUUACCUGCAAGACAAGGAGAAAGAGAGCAAUCAGUCAGCAUUUGGAAUCAAGCUUCCAGUCAGGAACUGACUGCAUGGAAUCCCUUGCUUGAUUACUUACUUGGCAUUGCUCUCGAGUACUCAUCUUCAACAUCUUUUGCUUCCAGAAAAGAUACCACAUCUGCCCGAUGAAGAAAUAGGGCAAGUGAGAAGGAUACAAGGAAGCAUGUGGAGACAAGCGCAACCGAACACGUGUCGUUUCAUCUACUACUUUGUCAAUAGCAAAAGUAUCCUAUAUCAUCAAGGUCGAAUGCAUUCUUGAUUUGAUGGACUUGUUUUGACUCUCAAAUUCUUGAGUCGGCCUUAUACUCUGAAGGAAACUAGAAAACCCUUCAGCCCAGUUCAAGAAUAAGCCUGUGGAAAGUUACUUCUUCAAAAGCAAAAGUAUCUCAUAUCAGCUCUUCUCCUUUUUUUUCUCUUUAUCCUUCAUGCUGCUUGUAAGAUAGGGAAAAUGAGAACAAUUAGCCGAAAUUCGAAAUCAAACUUCUAAUCUAGGACUGAUUGCUUAGAACCUUAAUUGCUUACCUUUUCUGUCCCUUUUUCGGCAGAUCUCCUAGCUCGGCGACUUGGGGAACUCCUACUACAUGGUUUGUAUCGCACUUGACCAAGCCUGAAACUACAAGUAAGCUUCAAGUCAAAUUGAUACAUUACCUUGUGCAUCUCCACCAGUUAAAGAUACCACCCUUGGAUGGAGGAAAAGGACUUCUAGAGAAGAUGCCACAUCUACCUAUGAGACAAAUAAGGCAAGUGAAGACGAUACCACACUUCGAUACUUAGAAGUUUCGUGAAUACUCAGCGGCUUGGAUCUUGCAAGUCCCCAACCGAGGAGCUUCCCUCACUUGGGAACUUAGGGGAGCACUGUUUGUACCAUACUUGAUCAAUCCUGAAACUACUGAGCACCGGUCAACGUUAUACCAUCAAGGACCCAGAAGAGUUUCCCUCCAACCAGGAGGCCAAUCACAGUGCGACACGUGUCGAUAUCAGAAGCCAAUCAUAGCGCGACAAGUUGAUCAAAAGCCAAUCACAACACGACACGUGUCAAUGUCAGAAUGAAACUAGAAACUCUAUUCUAUAAAUAGAGAUCAUUCUCUCACAAUAUUUCCUAAUGUCAUUUGUACUAAAUCAUUCACUAGUACUCACAAAAUGAGAGCUUGAACCUAUGUACUUGUGUAAAUCCUUCACAAGUAAUGAGAACUCCUCUACUCCGUGGACGUAGCCAAUCUGGGUGAACCACGUACAUCUUGUGUUUGCUUCCCUGUCUCUAUCCAUUUACAUACGUAUCCACACUAGUGACCGGAGCAAUCUAACGAAGGUCACAAACUUAACACUUUAUGUUGUACCAAAGUCCUCAUUGAUUUUGUGCAUCAACAGAACUCUUGAUCAAAAGUGAAAUUUUACCACCCUUGAACUUUAAUGAUUUUGACUUUUGUAUAGAAUGCAUUAAGGGAAAAAUGACUAAUUUCAGAAAAGAAGGAUCAACUAGAAGCAAACAACUUCUGGAGAUCAUUCAUACAAAUAUUUGUGGACCUUUUCCUACAAAAACAAUUGAUGGGAACAAGAAUUUUAUAAUCUGUAUCGAUGAUUUUUCUCACUUUUUUUAUUUUUAUUUUUUAUAUAUAUACUUGAUCUCAGAGAAGUCAAAAGCUUUUGAAGUGUUUAAAAUUUUUAAACGGAAAAUGAAAACCAAUUGGAAAGGAAGAUUAAAGUUGUUAGCUUUGAUAGAGGAGGUAAGCAAUAUGGCAAGCAAAGUGAAAUUGGUAGACAACCUCGACUAUUUGCAUUGUAUCUUCAAAACCAUGGCAUAGUAGCUCAAUACACAACUCCUAGGACACUUGAGCAAAAUGGGGUAUCAGAACGAAGAAAUAUGACCAUUAUGGGCAUGGUUAGAAGUAUGAUGUACAAGGUUAGUUUGUCGUUGUUUCUGUGGGGAGAGGCAGUCAAAACUGCCAACUAUAUCCUCAACCGAGUACCCUAAAAAAUAGUGAUUAAUAUCCCCUACGAACUUUGGACAGAUAGAAAACCUAGUCUAACUCAUUUACAUAUUUGGGCAUGUAAGUGAUCGGAUCAUAUUUAUAUAUAUUUUUACUUCGAAUUCACUCGUCUUUUCUUAGUUAGUUCCUUACAUUUUUGAGCUAUUUACUAUGUUUUUGUAUUUUGUGUGAUUUAUCAAGCAAAGAAAAGAAAAGUAGCACAAGUGAAUUAUUAAGUAACAAAUUCGUCAAAACUGCCUGUGCAGAUUAGCUGACUUUGAAAGCAUGUUACAAACAGCUCAGAAUGAAUUAGAAAAUGAGCCUUAUAUUCGUGGAAAGCUACGGAUGUCUACUUUCUGGAGCAAUUUACGGAUUGUUAAUAUCAUUUUUCUAGAAGAAGUUAUGGGCAUUGUAACACUGAAAGGUUCAGAAACGUGGACAGCACAUACACAAAGAGAAAGGCAAGGCAUGGAUAGUUUGACAUGGGCAGAAAAUGGGUGGAUUGUUGGCUGAAAUAAUGAAGAACAUGUGUGUACAAAUGCAAAGGAAAAACACACACACAUGGGCAAAGGAAACACACACACAUGGGCAUAAAAUGGGUUGAUUUGUGGUUGAAAUGAUGGAGGUCAUGUGUGUGUAAAUGUAAAGGGAAAAACAUGGCAGAAAAUGUGUGUGUUUUUGUGGUUGAAAUGAUGAAGAAAUGUGUGUGUAAAUGUAAAGAGGAAACAUGCCAACACACACCCACACAAGCUCACAUGCAAAGGAAAUGGAGUGGUCCUCUCCCUAGCCUAUAAAUACAUCCACCCUUCACCAUAACAAGGGAAGAAAACCAAAGAGAACACAAUCCACCCAUCCACCCUUCACCAUAACCCACCUAUAUCCAUCCACCACCAUAAUUUACCACUCAUCCAUCAAACCACACCUUGUGCCGCUACAAAGAGAAGAAGAAGGAUCUUGGACGUGCUUGCCAUUCAAAUUGGAUUGUUGGAGCGUUUUUAGGUGUUUUCUUUCUUUUGUUUUCAAUGUUUAAAUUUGUUUAUCUUUGCUUUGUAAGUAUGAGUGGCUAAACCCCUAUUUAGUUAGGGGGAAGUUUGAAGCCAUGAACAUGCUUGAGAUUUAAAUUGAUUUCUUCCAAUUGUGAUUUGAUAAGUUGUGAUUGCAAUUCAAUUAUCUAUUUUAUUCAUAACUAAUUCUUGUAUGUUUAUUAAGGAUGCAUACUUAGUUUUCAUGCAUGAAUUAGAUGCUAGAAUAUAAAUGAGUUUCACCUAAUCGUUACAAAUUUAUAUUCAUAAGUAGUGAAGGUUGUUUAUCACAAUCGCGUUAAUUGAAUUCUUGGCAUAAGUUUCAUGCAAUUCAUAGUUACAAGUGUUUCGUCAAUGCUUAUGAUUUUUAUAGAACUUAAUGAUUCUUGCUUGUAUCUCUAUUAUGCAAUUCAUGUAGGGAACUUGUGGGGAAUGCUUUGGGUUGUUGUAUGCAAUCAUCCAAUUCAAUGAAAUUAGGAAAAUCUGAGGAUUAAUUUAAGCGUACCUAAUUAAUCUGGGGUGUUGAGCAUCAUAGUUUAUUGAAAAGCAAUUGGAAAUCAAUUCAUAUACAAGUGUGUCAUGUGUGAAGAACGGACCUCUAACUAAUCCAUCCAUCAUCUUAUUUCUUAAAUUUGUUUUACAAUCUUCCUAGUUUUAUAACUUGUUUGUUUGUUUCAAAUUCAUCAAAACUAAAAUCCCCCUUUUACUUUCUUGUUUCAAAGUGUUUAAAAUUUGUUUGUUUGUGUUUUAGAGUGUUUUGAGUCAAGUCAAAACCCAAAUUUCGUCCAAAGUUGUGUUAGAGUCAGAAACUGCCUAGUUUGUGUUUUUAGGCAGUUUUGAGUGUCUUUAAGUUAUUUUGAGUCUUGUGAACCUGUUUUGAGUUCUUUAAGUCUAUUCAAAUGUUUUUAACUUUGUUUUUAUGUUUUUGAGUUAGUUUAGAGGUUUUAGCAAGCCCUCCUAAUCCCCGGUUUAGAACGAUCCCUACUUACAUCUAUACUACAAUUGUCAAAAAGAGGGUUUAAUUUGUGUGCUUAUAUAUUUCGCAUCAAAUUUUGGCGCCGUUGCCGGGGAUUAGCAAACUUUGCUAAUCCCUUGGUUCUUUUCUUUUUGUUUAGUUUGUUUUUGUUUUAGUUUCUGACUUAGUUUGUUUUCCUUGUUUUGUGUUACUUUUGAUAUUUGAUUUAUUUUUCUUUCUUUGAUUUUAGGUACAAAUGGAGCGAGACAUGGCACUUGCGACCAUUCAAGCUCAAUUGGCACAGCUCACUGCUUAAUUGACUCAUAAUGCCGAACGGACCACAAUGCCAAGUGUCCCUACAUUUGAUGUGCCCUAUGGGCAAGGUUAUCAAAGUCCUCAAUUUUAUGCAAAUGAAGAUGUUUGGGGAUAUCAAGGCCAUAACCAAUCAAGGGGCAACAUAUUUUCCAACGCUUACAAUUCAGAUUGGAGAGGUAAUUCAGAUUAUAUGUGGGAUGAACCUCAACAAUUUCAACAAGGUGGAUAUUGGCAGCAAGACGAGUUCUAUUCAAGACCUAUGCAGCCACCACAACAUCCCCCACAACAAUUCCAAUCAAAUCAAAGUAUGCCCGUGAAUUAUAAUGAAAUUCUUGAAGGACUAAUUUCUGUGGCGCAGGGUUUACGAAAAGAAGAACAAUUGCCGCCAUCGGAAGAGUUCUAUCAGUGGUCAUAUGAACCGUCACAGCCACCACAACAAUCAACCCAAUUCAAUUCAGGUACAUCCUUGGAUAAUGAUACACUUAAUAAGUUACUCACCUCUUUGAAUCAGGGAGUAGAAAAUCAAAACCAGGAGAUGCAAGACCGAGUCAAAAGAGUGGACGAAUUGGAAAUGCAAGUUGGGCAGAUUGUGGAAUUCAUGGCACAGAUUCAAGAUCAAAGUGAAUUUUCUAACUCAAACAUUGCAAAUUCAAAGGCAGAAAGUGAGAUCGAUGAAGCCACCACCUUGGAAGGUGACAUGAAGGAUGAAGCUGUCCCAGAACCAUCCAAACACAGCCCAAACAUGGAUGAAUUGCUGUUGCAAGCAGAAGAGGAGGAGGACGACCUGGGCAGUUUAGAAGAAUUCUUGCUGCAAACUCCUCAAAUCCCUAUGUCAUCUACCUCAGGUGAGGAAACUCUAAAUUCACUUCAUUCUAACAUUAUUCCACCGAAUGUCCUUUUUCCUUGCAGGUUUUUUAUUCCAAAUAUCAAAGAGAGUGAAAAAGACAUUGUGGAAGCUCUUCCAAAGGUGCAAAGUGAUAUCCCAAUUCUUGGUGCACCAAAACAAGUUCCCGAUGGUAUUGAAAUGUUCAAAGAACCUUGCACACCAAGAAAAGGGAUUCAAGAAAAUGAAGUGGUUGAAGCAUAUCAAGAAUACAUCCAAGAGGCUGUGCAUGAGACAAUCAAGCCCAGAGCAGUUGAGUUUGAUGACACGGGACAAGCCACAACCAUCAUAGUAAACCUGGCCAAGUUCAAAGUCCCGGAAAUGUUCAAAAAAUGUGGUGUUUGUCAUUGAGUUUUGUGUCGGAAAAAAAAGAAAGUAAGCCAUCUUCUCCAAUUUUAAUUUUUAUUUAUACUAACAUUUUUUCUGAUUUUGAUGAUUCAGGCACCCCACUCUUGAAUUUAAACCAUUGCCGAAUCAUUUCAAGUAUCACCUCCCAUUAAAAGAUAAAUUCCAUGCUUUGGAGCCGAGGGGAGUUUAAAGGAAAGUUUCGUCCGGCUAAAGACGUUAAAUCAAGCGCUUCUUGGGAGGCAACCCAAGCAUUCAACGAAGGGAGACUUUGGAAUCGCUAACCAAAUCAGAUUUGAAUUCUUACACCCUUAUCUUUACUGCUUUCAUUUUGUUUUGUUUAGUUAGUUGUGUUAUUUGGUUGAUUUCUGUGAGUUUGUGUUAUUUAGUUUAAGUGUGGGGGAAGGUUAACCAAAGUCUUUUUACAUUAAUUUACAUAUUUAAAAAUAAUAAUAAUAAUAAUAAUAAUAAUAAUAAUACAUAAAAUAAAAAAUAAAAAAAGUAAAAAAAAGUACAAAUAUUUUACAAUGAUGUAAACUAAUAGUAUUCAUUGGUCGGGUGGUGCUUCAGUAGUAGGCGGGGCUUCAGCAGUCGGCGGGGCCACAGAAGGAGGAGGCGGCAGAGGUUGAUCAGUUGGAGCUUCACUACGCGGUGCCGCUCCAGAAGACGAAGGCAGAUGUUGUUGGAACAAACCCACAAACCUCCGAUGAUCAAGUAAAAUUUGAUCAUCGGUGUCCUGCAUCUGGUCAAUCUUCCUCUUCAUGCUGGUGGCAUAGCUGUGUGCGAGCUUGUGCAAUUGUUUAUUUUCAUGCUUGAGUCCUUUAAUCUCCUCUUUGAGACUCUGUAUUUCAGCCACCAACGAUUCAACAUGACGGGUUCGGGCAAAUAGGCGUUGGGCCAUGUUGGACACGGAACCGGCACACUGCACGCUAAGAGCCAGAGACUCCUUAACCGCCAAUUCAUCAGAUCGUCUAGCGAGCAGUAUGUUAUCUCUGGGGGUGACAAGGUUUCGGGCCACCACCGCAGCGGUCAUGUCAUUUUUCAUCACCGAAUCCCCACGGUAAGGGACCGGUAGGGGAUAUGAAGGAUGGGCGCCAUAUGUUGUCUGGUGAAGGCGGGGCUACCUCUUCACCACGGUUCAAGUCAAAACGGCGAUCGGAAGGGCCAGACAUUUUCUGAAAGUGUUGAGAAAGAAGAGAUCAGACUGAUUAAGAUUUUGGAAGUUUACAGGAGGGAGUGUUUACAAGAGGGAACUCAAGUGUGUUGUGGAACAAAAUUAACACCUCUAUAAAAAGAAGAAAUCAAAGAGGCGCUCCUCAGAGAAGCGUCCUCUCGCAAAUCGAAGAGUCGGGGCUCCUUUCUCAAAAGCCGGAUUCUUUUCUCAAAAGAGGCGUUUCAUUUCUUAAAGGCUGGACUUGCUCAGAAACCACGAGCCGAACCCCGGAUUUCAAAAGAUCAAUUGGUCCUGACGUGUCGUCACUUGUCACACGCAAAUUGCUUUGCGAAAUUCUCGGGCAGUUUGUCGAAGCACCAAUUCAGAAAUCGAAGAGGGAAAUUCAACAGUCAAAGACACGCUAGCUUUCUCAAAAGCUGGGCUUCAACCCACGGGCAAAUCUUCUUUUCCAGAUUUAUCCGCACGUGUCACAUGCUACCUCUACAAUCGACGAUGCUCAGAGCUCGAAGCGCCGAUUCCAGAUAUCAAUGAGGAAUCUGCUUUGCGGAAAUUACGGGCAGCUUUGUCAGAAAGCGCGUAAUUUGUACUAUUCAUCCAUCCACCGGCUGCCGACAAUGAGUGAGAGAAUAGUUCCGGUUGUGAAGAAAAGUCCUAUAAGUAUUUACCUUCGCCUUCCACAGCAAAGGCACACCCUCUCAGCACUUUUUCAUCUCCGAGAAUGCAUUCCUAAAGAACCCUCUCGAGUCACACUGUAUUCCUCAUUCCCUGGGAUACUGCAAACAGCUCAUCCAGAGCAAAAGUAUUUCAUAUCAUAAAGGUUGAAAGCAAGAGUAUCUCAUAUCAUGCAUUCUCCAUGUCCUUUUCCUUGUCUUUGUUCUAACCUGCAGGACAUGGAGAAAUUGCUCUCGAGUACUCGUCUUCCACUGCUGAUGUACUUCCAAAGAAGCUGCCACAUCUACCUGAAGAACAGAUAAGGCAAGCGAAAAUGAUACCAACAGCAUGUGGAGACAACGUACAGAAGAAACAAGCAGAGAAGAAUGCAGCUUGCACAAUCAUCCCAGCGGAAGGAGUCCGAGCUGAGGAACUAGAGAAGCUGCCACAUCUGCUUGGAGAACAAAUAAGGAACUGCAACAUCACCAAAGAGCAAAGCUUCGCCGUACAAUAUCAUCAAAUCAUCACUUGCAAGUAAAAAAGCUAAGUGUCACCCCGUUCAAGAGGAAAGCUGUGGAAAGUCAACAAGCACGAUCAAUGAUCACUUAUUAGUUCUAUUCAUUGUCUUUUAUCGUGAUUUUCAAUUUUUCGUUUGCAAUUUUUUUUACAUUUUCUUGCGUUACUUAACUGAAUUAUUUCUUUUCUUUGCAGGAAUUUUUGGUUAUUUCCACCCUUGAAGUUGAUUGCAGAAUUUUAGCUUGGGGGGGGUCAUCGCUUGGUUUUACUGCAAACUAGGGAAGUUUUCAGUCCAAUUGCUUUAUUUUGUUUCUUAUUAUUUAUUUAUUUAUUUUUUUUUUGUUGUUGCAUUAUAGUGUUUUCUGACAUUGGGGACAAUGUCCAGUUUAAGUUUGGGGGUAAAGAGUAUAAAAAUGACCAAAUUGAAAUUUUUUUUUUGUACCUUCAACUACGAACGAGUUUCAUUUGUUUCCAUGUUGUUGCUUUUUGUUUUCUUAAUUAGUUUUGUUUUCUUUUAAAAAAAAUAAAAUAAAAUUUAAAAAAAAAUCGGAAAAUUUAAAAAAUCCAAAAAUAUUGUCUUGUUUCCCUUAUUGUUAUGAAUUAGAUUUUUGUUAGUUUCCCGACCCAAUGAUAUAAUUUGAUCAAAUUUGAAACCAUGAUCAUCAAGAACUUAGUUAACAUGUGUUUUGUGAAAUUCUUAAUUCUCUUGUUAGUUUUGUACAUGUUUGAUCAUCUUUGAAAAACCAAAUGCACAUAGCCUUGUUAAUGUGAAACUAAAGUAUGACUUAAAGCUUCAUAUGCGAAUUUAGUGACCAUAUACAUCCUAUGUGAGUUUUUGAGCCGAUUGAAAGUGUGUGCAUUUUUCAUACACUCCUAUUCUUUCAUGUGUGAUGAACUUAUGUGAGAUACAUCUCUAGAACUUGCGUAACGAUCUUUCAAAAUGUUUGUCAUUGAUUGCAUGAACUUGGAAAUGAUAGAGGCAUUAGGUUUACCACUAUGGCCCAAAUAACCAUGUUUCCCAAAUAAAAAUGAUAUCAUUAGAUUGCCAAUUUGAGCCGUGUAUGUUGAGCCUUUUAUUUCUUAUCACCAGAUAUGUCUACCCUUAUACCUGAAAUUUUUUUUCCUUACCCUUUCCAAGCGAGCAAUGCGAGAUUGUCUUAUGAGAAACGUUUGUGAAGUACUUUGAAGGUGUUUGGCAAAAGAAUAAGUGUGGGGUAUUUCAUAUUUGUAAAAAAAAAAAAAAAAAAAAACAGAAAAGAGAAGAAAAGAAAAAGAAAAAGAAAGAUUGUAUACAAAUGAAAUAAAAAGUUUUUAAAGUUUCAGUUUAAGGUUGUGGUUGGAGGUGCUAGAAGAAUUGCUGGAGAGCUUGAGUUCUUAUAAAUCUAAAGAAAAGAAUUGCUUGCAAUGUAGCUUGGAACUUGUGUUUUCCUAUUCUAUCGUUUCAAUAACCAUAUCCCUAAACCUCAUUACAUCCAAUAAAAGUCCUCUUGAUUUAAGUUUUGCAAUUAUGACUGUGGAGAAGUGAUCUUUAUGCAAGCUUAUGGUAGAAAUUUCACAUUUGAAUUUUUGAGCGAAACACAUUAAAACUAAACACAUGUGUGAUUGAGUGCAUAUCCCGUGAGAAGGUCGCUAGUUUGCAUAUGAUGAUUUUAAAAAUAUAAACUUGAAAUUGCAUUAGCAUGGCUAUAUCACACACUACACUUCAAGGAUGAUUUAAAGAUUACUGCUAAUAUUUGAAUAAGGAAGAUGAACUUGGAUUAGCUUGUUUGAUGCUAGCUAUGGUUCUUGUUGAUUUGUGUUCUCGAAUGAAAUUCUAUGAGGGUCACAUAGGGGGAAGCUAAUGUUUUUCUUGUUACUUCUUGUUCUUGUUUUCUUUGUUUUGCUCGAGGACUAGCAAAAGUUAAGUGUGGGGGUAUUUGAUCAGAUCAUAUUUAUAUAUAUUUUUACUUCAAAUUCACUCGUCUUUUCUUAGUUAGUUCCUUACAUUUUUGAGCUAUUUACUAUGUUUUUGUAUUUUGUGUGAUUUAUCAAGCAAAGAAAAGAAAAGUAGCACAAGUGAAUUAUUAAGUAACAAAUUCGUCAAAACUGCCUGUGCAGAUUAGCUGACUUUGAAAGCAUGUUACAAACAGCUCAGAAUGAAUUAGAAAAUGAGCCUUAUAUUCGUGGAAAGCUACGGAUGUCUACUUUCUGGAGCAAUUUACGGAUUGUUAAUAUCAUUUUUUCUAGAAGAAGUUAUGGGCAUUGUAACACUGAAAGGUUCAGAAACGUGGACAGCACAUACACAAAGAGAAAGGCAAGGCAUGGAUAGUUUGACAUGGGCAGAAAAAUGGGUGGAUUGUUGGCUGAAAUAAUGAAGAACAUGUGUGUACAAAUGCAAAGGAAAAACACACACACAUGGGCAAAGGAAACACACACACACAUGGGCAUAAAAUGGGUUGAUUUGUGGUUGAAAUGAUGGAGGUCAUGUGUGUGUAAAUGUAAAGGGAAAAACAUGGCAGAAAAUGUGUGUGUGUUUGUGGUUGAAAUGAUGAAGAAUGUGUGUGUGUAAAUGUAAAGAGGAAACAUGCCAAACACACACCCACACAAGCUCACAUGCAAAGGAAAUGGAGUGGUCCUCUCCCUAGCCUAUAAAUACAUCCACCCUUCACCAUAACAAGGGAAGAAAACCAAAGAGAACACAAUCCACCCAUCCACCCUUCACCAUAACCCACCUAUAUCCAUCCACCACCAUAAUUUACCACUCAUCCAUCAAACCACACCUUGUGCCGCUACAAAGAGAAAGAAGAAGGAUCUUGGACGUGCUUGCCAUUCAAAUUGGAUUGUUGGAGCGUUUUUAGGUGUUUUCUUUCUUUUGUUUUCAAUGUUUAAAUUUGUUUAUCUUUGCUUUGUAAGUAUGAGUGGCUAAACCCCUAUUUAGUUAGGGGGAAGUUUGAAGCCAUGAACAUGCUUGAGAUUUAAAUUGAUUUCUUCCAAUUGUGAUUUGAUAAGUUGUGAUUGCAAUUCAAUUAUCUAUUUUAUUCAUAACUAAUUCUUGUAUGUUUAUUAAGGAUGCAUACUUAGUUUUCAUGCAUGAAUUAGAUGCUAGAAUAUAAAUGAGUUUCACCUAAUCGUUACAAAUUUAUAUUCAUAAGUAGUGAAGGUUGUUUAUCACAAUCGCGUUAAUUGAAUUCUUGGCAUAAGUUUCAUGCAAUUCAUAGUUACAAGUGUUUCGUCAAUGCUUAUGAUUUUUAUAGAACUUAAUGAUUCUUGCUUGUAUCUCUAUUAUGCAAUUCAUGUAGGGAACUUGUGGGGAAUGCUUUGGGUUGUUGUAUGCAAUCAUCCAAUUCAAUGAAAUUAGGAAAAUCUGAGGAUUAAUUUAAGCGUACCUAAUUAAUCUGGGGUGUUGAGCAUCAUAGUUUAUUGAAAAGCAAUUGGAAAUCAAUUCAUAUACAAGUGUGUCAUGUGUGAAGAACGGACCUCUAACUAAUCCAUCCAUCAUCUUAUUUCUUAAAUUUGUUUUACAAUCUUCCUAGUUUUAUAACUUGUUUGUUUGUUUCAAAUUCAUCAAAACUAAAAUCCCCCUUUUACUUUCUUGUUUCAAAGUGUUUAAAAAUUGUUUUGUUUGUGUUUUAGAGUGUUUUGAGUCAAGUCAAAACCCAAAUUUCGUCCAAAGUUGUGUUAGAGUCAGAAACUGCCUAGUUUGUGUUUUUAGGCAGUUUUGAGUGUCUUUAAGUUAUUUUGAGUCUUGUGAACCUGUUUUGAGUUCUUUAAGUCUAUUCAAAUGUUUUUAACUUUGUUUUUAUGUUUUUGAGUUAGUUUAGAGGUUUUAGCAAGCCCUCCUAAUCCCCGGUUUAGAACGAUCCCUAUUUACAUCUAUACUACAAUUGUCAAAAAGAGGGUUUAAUUUGUGUGCUUAUAUAUUUCGCAUCAGUAAGCCGAAGCCAAGAUUUAUAAUCCUAAUGGCAAGAAACUUGAUCCCAAAACACUCUCUUGUUAUUUCGUGGGAUAUGCUGUGAGGUUUAAGGGGUUUAGGUUUUAUUGCCCUGUCACAACAUAAAAAUUGUUGAAACUGGAAAGGUCGUAUUUUUGGAGCUACAAAUGGACACUGAUGCAAGUAUCAGAAUUGAUGAUUUCAUAUUUGAAGCAGAUGGUCAAAUGGAGAAUAGUACUGAACAAACACCGACUGCAACAUCAAUGGUUCAACUUCCAAAUUAAAUGGAAGAAAGUGAGUGUAAUGAUGACUGUAAUUUUGGGAAUGGCAAUGAUACUGAUUAUGUUGUUGCAUGGUGAGCACCAAAAUAAUAAUCAUGCAGAUUAUGUGGAGGUGAUAGCUUCAAAUGCCAGUUGUGAGCAUCGACUAGAUCAACAUGCAAACUUUCAUACAAGACAAGAGGAGGCGGUAGCUGUAAAUGGUAGUGAACACGGACAAGAUUCAUCAACUAUGAUUGUCGAUGAGGUUGCACCGCUUGUGAGGAAAUCAAGUAGGGAAAGAAAAUCCACAUUCUCUUCAGAUUUUAUAUAUAUGGCAGAAUCAAAAUUCAACAUGUUAGAGUUUGAUGAUCAUGGGAGUUACAAAGAAACAAUCUCAAGCAAUAAUGUAGAUAACUGGAUAGAUGCAAUGAUGGUAAAUUGUCUUUGAUGAAAAAAAAAAUAAAGUUUGGAACUUAGUGGAGUUAAAAGAAGGAAUAAAACCCAUAGGUUGUAAGUGGGUUUUUAAAACCAAAAAAGAGUUGAAGGGAAAUGUGGAAAGACACAAAGCAAGGCUUGUUGCCAAGGGUUUUACACAAUGAGAGGGCAUUAAUUACAAAGAAACUUUUAGUCCAGUGUCUGCUAAAGAUGCAUUCAUAGUUAUCAUGGCAAUGGUAGGACACUAUGAUUUGUUUUUACAUCAGAUGGAUGUAAAAACAUCCUUCUUUUAAAUGUGAAUUGGAGGAGGAUAUUUAUAUGGUACAACCUGAGGAUUUCAAAGAAGAAAGGAAGGAAAAUAUGGUAUAUAAACUGAAGAAAUCUAAUUAUGGUUUAAAACAGGUAUCUAAGCAGUGGUAUUUGAGUUUCAUCAUGUUGUUAAGGAGCAUGGUUUCACAAAAAACUCAUCUGAUGCUUGUAUAUAUUUGAAAGUCAGUGGGAGCACUUAUAUCAUAUUAAUGCUCUAUGUAGACAAUAUUCUUUUAGCAGCAAAUUCUUCUAGCCUAUUGGAUGAAACCAAGUCUUUCUUGCAGUGCAAUUUGAAAUAAAAGAUUUAGGUGAAGCUUCGCAUGUCUUGGGAAUUGAGAUCAAAGGAGAUAAAGAGAUAGGACUUCUGGGAUUUGUCACAGCCAGGAUACAUAGAGAAAGUAUUGAAGAGAAUUAAUAUGAUAUCAUGUGGAACCACAGAGAUGCCAAUAUCCAAGGGUGACAAACUAAACAAAGAUCAAGGUCCAAAGAAUGAGAUUGAAAGGGAAAAUGUGAAGAAUAAGCUAUAUGCAUCAUUGGUAAGGAGCUUGAUAUAUGCUCAAGUUUGCACAAGGCCUAACCUUGCAUUUACCAUAAGUGUUCUUGGGAGAUUUCAAUCCAAUCUUGGGGAAGUGCAUUGGUAUGCAAUAAAAAAGGGUUUUGAGAUAUCUUUAGAGGACAAAAUCAUAUAUGCUUGUUUACAGAAAAACUAAAAGUUUUGUUUUGGAGGGAUAUAGUGAUGCUGACUUUGUAGCUUGUCCUGAUGACUUGAAAUCAACUUCAAGUUUUGUUUUCACCAUGGCAAGAGGAGCUGUGUCAUGUAAAAGUUCCAAAUAAGAUAUAGUUGCAGCGUCAAAUAUGGUAGUUAAGUACUUGUCAUGUUGUGAAACAGUCAAUCAAGCAAUUUGGAUAAAAAAAAACUUUAUUAUGGGACUGAGAGUGGUAGACUAGUUCAAAAGCCUAUUCCAAUAUUUUGUGGUAACAAUGCAGUUAAGAUGGGUGUUCUAGCAGGUUUUGAAGUUGUGGAAUAACGACAAUUAUAUUUGUUCAGUUUAUUAUGUUCUAGUUCAACAUGUUUACAUCUAUGCAUUGAGAAUAAUGUUAUAUUAUAACUAAUUGAUGUUGGUUCUUCAAAGUUCCCUUAAAGUAUAUCGCAUUAGUUAUAAUGAUAUGUUUAAUAUAUGAAUGGCAAUAUGAGUUAUUGUUUAAAGAUCAACAACCAUUGUAGUUUCUUAUGAAGCAUGAAGAAAGCCUACGUUAGUAGUUAUAAGGAGGACCAAAUGUUAAAUGUGUUUAAAUAAAUGUACAGCCACAUUUACAUAUUUCCAUGGCUUGUUGGAGUUUCAUGUAUGGUACGGUUUCAUAAAGUGAUUAUGGAGAUGUUGUUCUGGAGAUGAGCAUAUAGUCCCCUCUAAUUCUUUCAAAAUGAAUAUUUUGUGUUUGUACCAUACUUGACCAAUCCCGAAACUAUUGAGCAUCGAUCAAUGUUAUACCGUCAAGGACGCAUAAGAAUUUCCCUCCAACCAGGAGGCCAAUCACAACACGACAUGUGUCAAUGUCAGAAUGAAACUAGAAACGUUAUUCUAUAAAUAGAAAUCAUUAUCUCACAGUAUUGCCUAAUGUCAUUUGUACUAAAUCAUUCACUAGUACUCACUAAAGGAGAGCUUGAACCUAUGUACUUGUGUAAACCCUUCACAAUUAAUGAGAACUCCUCUACUCCAUGGACGUAGCCAAUCUGGGUGAACCACGUACAUCUUGUGUUUGCUUCUCUGUCUCUAUCCAUUUACAUAUAUAUUCACAUUAGUGACUGGAGCAAUCUAGUGAAGGUCACAAACUUAACAUUUUCUGUUGUACCGAAGUCCUCACUGAUUUUGUGCAUCAACAUUUGGCGCCGUCUGUGGGAAUGACACUUAUUCCCACUCUCUUCAGCUUUGCCAAGGUGGUUUCCACCAUUCGUACACUCUCUUUUAACCAAGCAUCCCUCUCCAACAUGGGGAGCGAAGGAAGCCACAACACACAUAAUGACACCCCUCUUGCACCUAGUGCGAAGCAACGAAAGAAGGAAGGAAAAAGGGUUGCUCUUCAUGCUAAAGUCGAUGAUCUAGAAGCUCAGAACAACAAGAUAGCAAUGAAGAAUGAGGUCCUCCAGGAGCAAUAUGAGAAGCUCUUUGAGACACUCCACGAAACUAGGCGUACUCAAACACGUGAGCUCGUUGCCCCUGUGGACAUCAACCAUUAUCUGGGUACCCCUCAACACGGAGGUCACCUCCCUUUGACAUGGGCAUCCCUGAUGAGGAGCGAGCUAAUCAUCAAAACAUUGAUCAACAUGAGACUUCUCUCAACCCAGAUGCUUUAACCCGAAGCAGGAGAAGUGGAGGAAGACACCUCCUUGCAGAAGGGUUGGAAGGAUCGAAAGCCGUUUAUCGUGACUGCUGAGACUUCCUAAAGCAACGUCGAGGGAAUCCCCUCCACAUAUGCUUGAAGAUCAAUGACCCAAAGGUUUCUGAAAGACUCGGUCGCCUUUCACGACCUAGGCCCACUGCCAAUCUAGGGAAGGAACAACAGGUCCUAGAGGAACAUGAAGGUACAGGGGACUCUAAGGUAUUCCGACAAACUCGCCCUAGAAGUCAGUAUAGCGAGUCCAAGAACAAACAACACGCCCUUACUCAAACUUUCCUACUUCCAAAAGGCGAUGGAGACUUACGAAAGAAAAUUCUAAUGGUACAUGGCUCCACUCAGGACCCCUUUAUCCUACAGCUCCUUGAAGAAGUAAACAAGUUGAAGGUCGAACGUUAGGCCGAGAUACCUGACUGGAACCAACCCAGGCCUGACCCUCUCACAAGGAGGAUCUUCGACACCCCCUUCAAGCGAAGACAAAACAAAAGCUUAGUUUACAACUAUAUACUAGAAGGGAGGACCCAAUUGAACACCUUAACCUCUUUGAGUCUACCAUGGCAUAUCAGAUGCACAUCGACGAAGAACGAUGUCUUCUCUUCCUCUCCACCCUCUCUGGCGGAGCUCUAAACUGGUAUUGCCAUCUUCCACCUGAGACAGUAGACGGAAUUGAGGAAACUGUUUAUUUCUCAACAAAUCUUCCAGACCGAUCGCUUGCUACAGAUGACUUGUACACUAUUCGCCAGAAGCCGGACGAGUCAUUACGAGAGUGUGUCGGUCGCUUCAGCCAUGAGUAUUCUCGUUGCGCUGAGGAAGAUGACAAGACCGCCCUCAAAGCCUUCACGGCAGGCCUACGUGAUUGUUUCUUCAAGUACAUGAUCAAGGCCAACAUUUGGAAGACUUACUUUGAGGUGAUGGUAUAGGCUUACAACCACGCCUCCGCCGAAGCAAGGACAUACCAAGGGAAUCCCCAUAUGGUUAACCCCUAUCAACAAGUAGGAAAUGGAAGUCAAGUUCUACCAAGUGAGGAGAUCUUGGCCAUUCAGACACCCAUUGCAUCAUCUUCUGCCUCAUUUAGCUACUCGUUCAGUCACCAAACGUAUCUGUCUCUUAGUAAGAGGAAGGAUUUUACUCUCAGCAAACCCAUUACAACAAGAGGGAUAAAAGUUCGUAUCAAGACUACCAGGGGUGAACGUACCGUUGACUAUUAUAUGGGGCCAAGCCUUACUCUUUCAAAGUGGAGGACUAAGUACCAAAGGAAAUGCUAUUAUAAGAAGGCAUACACAUUACAAAUGUUUUGACUCUCAACCACUUGAGAUCUUUUGUCACACAAGCCAUUUGGCAAAUAUUUAAAGAAGAGGGAAUUCAGACAACUUCUUCUGAGUCUUUUGCGUUCCUAGCACUGGAACACUUGGUCUACGCUGACCUACCCUUAUACUCCAACUUAGAGCUUCAACAUGCAUACUUUGACACAAAGUAUGUGAUACUAAGUGUUACAACCAACAUGGUUCACAUAUCAAAAGCAUAGAUCCCUUCAUGCAUAGCAAAACAUUCAUAAACAUCACUCAUAUCAAUCGACAUAAACAUCAUACAUUCAAACACAUUCAAACAUAAACAUUAUACAUUAUAACACAUUCAUACAUAAACAUCAUACAUUCCAACACAUCCAUACAUAAGCCAACUGUGCUUCGAAAGGGUUCAACAUACUUUGUGUCUUCGACACUUGCUACAAUGUGCCUCGACACCUUGCCCUUAUUCUCACCAACCAGGUGAUGAAAUGUGAAGAAGAAACUCAUCUUCAUGCUCCCAACUAGGGGAUGAAAUGUACAACCCGUACUCUCCUUCAUGCCACCAACUAGGUGAUGAAAUGUACAACCCGUACUCUAAUAUCAUUUGGCAACUUGCCACUCAUGCCACCAACCAGGUGAAGAAGGAACUCAUUUUCAUGCCACCAACCAGGUGAUGAAAUGUACAACCCAUACUCUCCUUCAUGCCACCAACCAGGUGAAUAAGGAACUCAUCUUUGUGCCACCAACCAGGUGAUGAAAUGUACAACCCGUACUUUAAUAUCAUUUGGCAACUUGCCAUUCAUGCCACCAACCAUGUGAAGAAGGAACUCAUCUUCGUGCCACCAACCAGGUGAUAAAAUGUACAACCCGUACUCUCCUUCAUGCCACCAACCAGGUCAUGAAAUGUACAACCCGUACUCUAAUAUCAUAUGGCAACUUUCCACUCAUGCCACCAACCAGGUGAAGAAGGAACUCAUCUUCGUACCACCAACCAAGUGAUGAAAGCAACUCAGCAUUCAUUCCACCUACCAGAAGACGAGUGGUACAACUUGUACAUGUGAACUCCUAGCAUUCACAAAUAAUAAAAAACCCUCAAGCUUGACAACUCAACUAGGGGAGCACUUAUGCCCAACAAGAGUUAUAGUCACCAACAAAGUCUUAAUGCAAGCCAACAACAACUUCAGUGUAUGGCACACGAAGAUUAAGCUAUUCAGCCCUCUUGCAUCUGCUUCAGACAUUUCCCCUCUGUAACAAUGCAAACACUACAACUCGUAGAAAGCUUCACACACUCUUGAUCAAGACAGUGUGAAGCAAAACCAAUUUAUGGUGCCAAUAACAGCUUUAUCAAAGGAGUCCAACCAUAAUUCUCAAAAGCUUCACACACUCUUGAUCAAGACAAUGUGAAGCAAAACCAAUUUAUGGUGCCAACAAGAGCUUCAUCAAUGUAGGGCAACCACAAUUUCCAAAAGUUUCACACACACUUGAUUAAGACAGUGUGAAGCAAAACCAAUUUAUGGUGCAAACAAGAGCUUCAUCAAAGGAGUUCGACCAUAAUUCUCAAAAGCUUCACACACUCUUGAUCAAGACAGUGUGAAGCAAAACCAAUUUAUGGUGUCAACAAGAGCUUCAUCAAUGGAGGGCAACCACAAUUCUCAAAAGCUUCACACACUCUUGAUCAAGACAGUGUGAAGCAAAACUAAUUUAUGGUGCCAACAAGAGCUUCAUCAAUGGAUGCAUCCACAAUUCUCAAAAGUUUCACCCACUCUUGAUCAAGACAGUGUGAAGCAAAACCAAUUUAUGAUGCCAACAAGAGCUUCAUCAAAGGAGUUCGACCAUAAUUCUCAAAAGCUUCACACACUCUUGAUCAAGACAGUGUGAAGCAAAACCAAUUUACGGUGCCAACAAGAGCUUCAUCAAUGGAGGGCAACCACAAUUCUCAAAAGCUUCACACAUUCUUGAUCAAGACAGUGUGAAGCAAAACCAAUUUAUGUUGCCAACAAGAGCUUCAUCAAAGGAGUUCGACCAUAAUUCUCAAAAGCUUCACACACUCUUGAUCAAGAGAGUGAAGCAAAACCAAUUUAUAGUGCCAACAAGAGCUUCAUCAAUAGAGGGCAACCACAAUUCUUAAAAGCUUCACACACUCUUGAUCAAGACAGUGUGAAGCAAAACCAAUGUAUGCUGCCAACAAAAGCUUCAUCAAUGGAGGCCAACUACAAUUUUCAAAAGUUUCACACGCUCUUGAUCAAGACAGUGUGAAGCAAAACCAAUUUAUGGUGCCAACAAAAGCUUCAUCAAAGGAGUUCAACCACAAUUCUCAAAAGCUUCACACACUCU
rnacentral:lncRNA from 1 species